CUCCCUUUCCACAGCAAACACACUCCUCUCCCUCGCCUCUCAUUUUUUCCUCUUUCUCUCUCUAAAGCUUGGGCUAGGGUUGGGAGAGAAGGAGAAGAAGCAAGGAGAAGAAGAAGAAAGAGGCUUGGAGAAGGAUUUUGGUGGGUUUAGCAAGCUCUCCUACAAGAAGGACUUGGGGGAACUUGGGCAAAGGUGAGUUCUUUAGCUCUAGAACUCUAGGAUUUCGUUUUAAACCUUGGGAUUUAGAGUUUUGAUCCUCUAAUUAACCUAGAAAUCCUCUAAAGACCAUGACUCCAUGAAAAACAUGGUUUUCUUGGACCCCUCUCAUGGUGGAUCACUAGGGCUCAAAGUAGAUACCCUAGGGAUGGUUCUAAAGGCUUAGAAACCUUAUUAGAGAGCUUCCCAAGUGAAUCUAAGCUAUCUUUUGCUUAGCAAUGAGAUCAAUCUCGGAGAAAUGCAAAAAUGACAUGUUAGGGCGAGGGGUUUUGCCCAAGUUAGGUUUUGAUCUAUUUUGAUCAUGUAGAAACCUAAUUGAGGGUAUUUUAAAUGCGUUGGAACGCUCGGUUCGACAAUCCGACGAGUGUACGCAAAGUUAUUGACAAAAACGUCAUUUUCCGUACAGAUAGCCGCAGCACGCGGAUUAGGGCUUCAAAAAUUCCAAGAAACUCACCGUAGCAUCCUUGUAACCAUCUAAGGUGGGUGGUGCAUUCCAAGGUCAUCGGAAAUCCCUUUAUGUCUAAGUGUCAUAUUUUGAGCAUAUGUGCAUUUUUGAGCAUCUUGCAUAAUAGAGUUAAUUGUGAGCUUUUAUAGCCUAAUGUAAAUUCAAAUGCAUGUUAAAUGUUUGUAAGAAUGUGAGAAUGAUGAUCCCUAUGUAUGCAUGGUUGUGACAAGAACCUAGAAGGGUUAGUAAACGAAAAGUGACACUUUGACAUAGAUCUAGCAAGUGACAUCGACGAGUCUAGAACCCUUAGUAAACAAGUGUGACAUUUGGCAUGAGUACAAGAACUUGAUAGUGUAUAUAAUAUUAGUGAUAGUAAAGAAUGCAAAGGAAAAAAUGAUUGAGAUAAUAUGACGUUUCAACCUUAGUGUUAUGGGUCAUUGAGCAUAGUCUUCCUUAAAGUUAAGGAAUGGAUUGAACUUGGAAUCCUCAAAUGUAGGAUUGAUUGUACUCACUUUAGUCCUUGCUCGAGGUUGUGGUAGCUCCCCCUCGGGCGAUGUGCUCCGGAGUCGACAUCACUGGGUUGUAGCGAGUAUCUCCCCAGAGGGCGGUCCCAUCGGGUUGUAGCGAGUAUCUCCCCGAAUAUUGGGAUUUUGAGUUGGUGAGUUUGUUGAGGGCGAAACCUACGGGUUAGCCAAGAGAUUGGGUAUUGACACUAUGACCUUGCAUCCGUCAUGAGCUUUACAUUGUGCAUACCAUUUUAUAUUGUCCAGGCAUAUUAGUUGCAUUUGUUACUUGGUUACUUACUUUCUUUCAUUCUAUUAUGCCUGAUUAGACCUAGUGGGAUAGUCGGCGUGGUUGGUUGCCGAACCCACUGGGAACUUUGUCGUAGUUCUCACACCCCUAUUUCCACAGAGCCGGGACCCAGCGAGCCGGCGGACGAUCGUGGUAAGGGCAUCGCGCCCUAGGUAGAGACCGCCCGAGAUGUUUACUUACUCUAGUUGCAUACCCCUUUUGUUAUAUCAUGGCCACAUAUUUAAAUUCUAAUUUAAAUUAAUUAGAUACGGGUAUGAUUGUAGUUUUGUGAUAAACCCGUUAUUAAAUAUUUUUUAUUUAUUUGUACCGUCGGAUUAAGCGGAUUCGGUUGGAUUUGGUUUUCGGAUUAAUUAUACUCUAAUACUAGUUAGAGUAGGAUUGAGAUUUAGCCCUAAUUAAUCACCUAUAAAUAGGUAAUUUAGGAAGAGUGUACGGCCAAAAAUAUUAUAAUAACAAAUAUUGUUGCCGGAUUCUUUGUGCAAGCAUGGCCGCCGGCGGGAGCAAGAUCCGACAAUCGUGGGGGAGAGGAAAAAGAACGAGAGCGAGGUGAGUCUCCAAUAAUUAGUUUUCUCAUUUUUUUCUCUCUUUUCUUUCUUCUUCUACCUCCUAAUCUUAUCCUCUCUCCUCGUUGUAUCGUCGCCGCCAUCGCCGUCGCCGUCGCCGUCGCCGGAGUGGUCGCCGGCCACCUACGGACGGGUUGGGGUGAACCCCCUAUGGGUUAACCGUGGUUGGCCAUGAGAGAGGUAUGAGAGAGCUUCUUUGUUUGAGUUGGGAAGAAGAAGAGAGUAGAUGGGAUUAUUUUGGAUCUGGCUAGACCUGGUUCACGGUGGACCACGUUAAUUUUUGCAUGAUUUAUUUUUAUAUUUAGGUUUCAAUUUAUCGUAACGAUAUUGAACGUAAUUAAGUUGUUAAUUAGAGUGUUUUGCCUCUAUCGGUUGAAUUAUAUUUAAUUGGAAAAGCUUCUGGUGCACGUUGUUGAUGCUGGAUCGGGUGCAGCGAAAUUUUGGUACUUAUAAUGGCUUAAAAGAUCAGUCAGGGACCAAUCUGUAAAUAGCAGUUUUGGUUUUGGGGACUGAUUCGUAAAAGAGGCAUAACUUUUUGUCCGUAAGGCGGAAUUUUGUGAUUCAAGCGCUAUAGGACUCGUCUUGAAAAUACAGAUAAGAUCGUGUGGUCCAAUUAUCCUGAUUUAAUGUAUAAUUUUUGCAGAAUUUUUAAUAGUUAAAGGGCUUGUUUGAAAAUAUAUUUUAUUUGGGUCUUUUCAUCGUUGUAGGUGCUGAGACAGCCGUAAAACCUUAAUCUUAGAACGUGAUGAAUUUGUGAGCACUAAUAGAGACAAGUAAAUAGCUACUUUCUGCAAACGGUAGAAAAUAUGCGGAUCCGAGUGGGUUCGGGACAUAAUUAUUAUCUGUUCUGUUUACUAAUUGGUGAUACAUCCGAGUGGAUUUUAUAAUUAUUAUUAACGGACAUGGUUUAUUUAUUUUGCACAUUAUUAUUAUCAUGUUCUAUUAUUGGAUAUGACUGUUGCGGUCGGAUUCCUCGGAGUUGAGGGAUUUAUCCGGUACGCGAUUUCCGAGGAGAAAUAGCGUGUAAUUGUAGCUCUCGCGGUUAGAGCGACGGAGUGGAGAUGCUCUAAAUUAUGACCUUUGUGGUUUCAAAUUUAAAUUAUCGUUAUUCUUGAAGUAGAUUUCUUGUUAAGCAUUGCGCUUACUUUUGUUGUCUACUGUUUCAGGUACCGAGAGUCGGGGUGUGUGAGAUAAUUGGCCAGCGAGAACUCGUUAGAUAGAUUUCAAAUUUUGGACAUAUGAUUUAUUUUGACAUGAGAUUGAUUAUAUGGACAUUUAGAAGUUAUUGUUUAGUUUCGUUUUAAUUAAUAAAUUAUUUAGUUUAUAAUUGAGAUGGUGGCUUUGGAUCAAUUUAAGGCCUUCCAUUUUCGGAGGUUCUUCCUCUGAAUUCGUGGCCAGUUGUUGCGGUUCAGAUCCGAGCAGUCGGAUCUGGGGCAUGACAGCUUUAGUGGUAUCAGAGCCGAAUACUAGCCGGAGGUGUGAGAACUAACUGCUAUGCGGGACAAAGUGCUACACCAAUGGGUUUGGUGGGAGCCACCUCUUGAACCCGUAGGAGCCACCUCUAGAAUCUCACAUCGCCUAGUAAUGGUCCUGGUCUGUCUGUCUGUGAUCUAGUUUGGACCCGACGAGGACGUCAGGGUCUAAACAGGGGGAGUUUGUAACACCCCCAAUAGUCCCACAUCAGAUGGGAUACUGAUUCCGAUCAGUUUAUAUGAGACCUACACGCUAGUAAUAAUAACUGGGCUUAAGCAUUUUGGGCCGACUAUUGGGCCCAACGAGUUAUUGUUGCUAGUGGGCUAGGUCGUUACAUUUGGUAUCAGAGCCGGUUCAUCAGCUGGACAUAUGUAGAGAGUCUCGGCUGAGCCAGGGUCUGGAUGAUGGGCUAGCGAGACGAGUCUCACAUCGCCUGGUGAUCUUGGGUUGUGUGUGUGAUGGACUGACGAGGACGUCAAGGCCUUAACUGUAGCACACUGGACCUUUGCAAAUUAUGAGGUUCGAGUGUUUGGACAGUGUCUUGAGCUUUUCCAGACUUUCUGGUGGGUCGUUGACAGUGUUUCGACCUAUGGCCCGUGUCCCGAGAAUUGUGGUUUAAAGUUGUGUACCAAAACCCGAAAAAUCAGAUUCUUGGCCACCUCUCGGGUUGCCUUCAGAAGUCUUGUACCGGUACAGGGUUGGUGGUUGUACCGGUACAAGGUUGAUGGUUGUACCGAUAUAGCCACCGGGCUUGUACCGGUAUAGAGCCGCGGAACCCUCCAGACCCGAGCCUCGGGUUUGUGAUUUUCGUAGGGCUUGUACCGGUACAAGGGCCCGUGUACCGGUACAAGGUGGCAGAAUUUGAGCAGUUUGAACUGCAGGGGUGUUUUUGCGAUUGUGGGUCUCUUAUAACAGCACCCACACCCCUAGGGCUGCUCUUUGAGCUUGCCAAUGCAGAGAGAAGGUAAGGCUCCUCCAUGCUUCUCCUUUGGAUUUGAUCUCUUUUUAGCUUGGGAUUUAAGUGUUGAUCCUUCUCUUUUCCCUUUUCUUUGCUUUUCCACCAUUGUGAAGCUUGGAGCUUGGUCUUGGUGGAUUGUUGAGGGCAGAUCUUGGGAUUUCAAGAGUUUAGAGCUUUGAUUGAAGCUUCUAAGAGGUAAUCCACUUAUUCUCUCCCUCUAGAUUGGAUUUUUAUUGAUGGUUUUGAGAUGAAACCCUAGAAUGAGGUUUUAGGGCUUAUUUUGGGCAUUUUGAAUUUAGGGCUUUUGGAGCUAAAUUAGUUGGAUUAAAAUCUUCCUUUGGGUUGUAUUGGGAGGAUUCUAGCUCUCUUUUGGAGCUUGAGGGAGAUUUUCUACACAUUAGGUGAGUUUUAGCCCUUUUGCCUUGUUGGUUAAUGUUUAAUUUUAUAGUUGAUUGUAAUGCCCGUGUAUCAUUUCGCUCAAUACUUUUAGGGUAUUUUGAGACUCGGGGACAACUUCGUUCGGCGAAACGAGGCACUACGCGACGGUUCGGUGGGUUUGACCUAGCCUAUAAUAUGAGAAAUUCUCAUAUAUGGCGAUAUAUGUUUCGUAAAUUGGAAAAGCAUGCAUGUUCAUACUAAAUGUAUUUAUUAUGAUUUUUAGAAUGCUUAAAAUGCCUAUGUUACAUGUAAUGAAAUUUUGGAUCUCUAUGUAGUAGAGGAUAGCAUAUGAAGCUUAUGCGGAAUUUUUGGCAUUCUUAUGUUGGAUCAUGUUCCUUAGUGUAAAAAGAGCUUCGAUUCAUGCAUUUAAACCUAAGUUUAAUUGAGUCAUGAAAGAUAACUAAUAUGCCAUAAAGAGGCACCGAACCGGAAUGUUAUGUGAUUUAGAGAGCUAAUGCCAUCAAGCGACAUUGAGCUCGGGACAUAGGUGAACCUAGUGGAUAGGGCCAUUGAGGAAUGUGGAACAUGCUUAAGUAUUGAAUGUCUAAGUGUCAUAAAGGGACACUAGACCUAGAGAACAUUGGAACUUCAUUUUGUGAUUUAGAACUAGAUCUUCGGGAUGCUAGUGACUAUACUAUGUUAGAGACAUGAUGAUUGGAUACGUGAGACGCUGACUAUGCUUGCUUGCCAUUUGUGCUCAUUCGCACAUGCUUGUGAGGGUCGCUCCCUACAAGCCGGCACUCCGGAGUUAGCCUACGCGACUUAUGUUCGCUCGUGCGGUAUUGAGAAGCCUACGGGGUCAAGUGGGACAGACACAUUCCAAGAGUAGGAAUGUCGGGCUACCACAGGCACUUAGGCAGCACAAGCUGCACUACCUUGGGUAGGCCCUUAAUUGGAAAUGAAAAUCGACACAGUGUUGAGUGUGUUUUAAUCACUACUAGAUAGAGAUUAGUAGUUGGAUUACUUGGACUUGCUUCUAGCAUAGUUUUGGACACUUGAGUACACAUAUACUUACAUGUAGUAUGCUAGGAGAUAUUGCUUAUUGCAUUCAUAUAUACAUUAUUGCCAUGAUAAAGUAUAAUCCUUAUAACUUUAAAGUGAACUGUGACACUUACGUAUAGCUAUAUAGAGACAUAUUGGUUAUGAUAAAGUAAAGGUGCAUUAUUUUUAACACCAUGUUUAAUUGCAAUAUAGUGGCUUAGCAUUUUAAUUUUGCUCUCAUAAAUGCAGUUUAUUCUUUAUUAUUGCUCUUUUGACUUACCCUUUUCUUUUGGGGCCUAGUGGUGCAUUGAGCUGAGGUCAGUAAUUGCCCACUGGGAACUAUAAAUUAUAGUUCUCACGCCCUCUGUUUUAUGUUUCUUUCAGAGCCUUCCACGCCGGGGGAGGCCAGGGAUCGCGGAAAGGGUAUCGCCUCGGGCUAGUGUUCUUCGCCGAGGGAUCGUUCGAUAGGUGGCCCACCUCUCUUUGUUUCUUUUUGUGAGAGGUUGAGAGUUGUACCAGUGUACUAGAGACCACCCUUUUGUGUACCUUUUGGGACAGAUAUUGUAUUACCUUAUGGUUUACUUUUACUGUUUAGUUGUAUCCUUUUACUUUUGCUAUAGAAGGUAGAAUCAUACUGCUUUGAUAUCAUUAGUUUUUGCUCUUUCCUUUCGGCUGUGUUUCUUGCUUUAUUUCUGCUGUUGAUGUAGACGCCUUAUAUGUGUUGACAUAUGGCGGGUCUGGGCACGCUACCGGAAGGGCCUCUGCCGGUCCCGGGGCGUGACAAAUUAAUUUGGUAUCAGAGCCUAGGGUUGAGUCUUAGUGGACCUAGCAAACCUUAGGCCGGUUGGACUAUAGGAAUUAGGCUCGUGAGAGACGAGAUCUAAUCUAUUUUUGAAAGAAAGUAUUAUGAUUGGGUUUUAUGACAACUCUAAAAAGUUAGAGUUUGAUCGAAGUGUAUGGCUUCUAACUUCGCGGAGGGUUACGUUGGCGGCCGACAACGUAACAUCGGGAGUUAGUAGUGGAGGACACUUCUUUACUUUUGCAUGAUUUGGAUUUUAUCUAUUUGAGCGGGGAUGUGGUAGCGUGGGUUACUAACUUGCACUUUUAUGUUUUGUAGUGACGAUGCCGAUUACACGCUCCCAGUCUGCCGGGGCGGAUGAUGCGGCACACCCCGAGGAGGCCGAGACCUCCGCUACUUCCGGAUCUAGUGAGGUCCGUGACUUGAGGACCUAGCUUGCGGUCCUUACUAAUCUGUUGGCGCAGCAGACGGCAGCGGCGCAGCGACAGGCUGAGGUGGCUCAGCGGCAGGAGGCGCGGAUGAAGCAUCUUGAGGACCUCCUACUUCAGCAGGCGGCAGCUUCGAGGGAGACCCAGGUUCCCACACCGCCAGCACCCGUGGUGGACGUCGCACCGAGGGCACAGUCCCCCGCGCCCAGUUCUUCACGUGCGGCACCAGCGACCACACCUCGGGAGGAGGUGGCUGCGGCACCCGCAGUUCAGAGACCGGCCACGGGGGCAGCUUUCCCCGUGAGGGCCGAGGGAGCCGAGCGGGAUUGGCUCAUGGAUCGCCUCAGUGAGUUCAGGAGGUGCAGCCCGAGGACGUUCGAUGGCAAGAACGUCGACCACUGGAUUGUUCAGAAGUGGUUGAUGCAUAUGGAGAAGCUUUUUCGAGACACCUUUGUGGAGGAGCGGGACAGAGUUUGGCUCGCCACUCACUUUCUCGACGGCGAGGCCGUUGGUGGUUGGAUAUCUAAGACAACCGCAACACUGACUUGGCAGCGAUUACUUGGACGAGGUUCAAGGAGCUCCUUCUGGCGCACUACUUCCCGACUAGCGUCAAGAGAAAGAUGGAGCAGGACUUGCGCAGCUUGAGCCAGGACGAGCGGUCUGUGGCCGAGUACGAAAGGGAGUUCUCUCGGCUACUUCACUGUGUACCGUUUGUUGUGAGGGACGACGAGGACAAGGCCCGCAUUUUUUAGCGCGGAUUGCGGCCUUCUAUUUUCCGAUUGGUGCAAUCUUCCAACCUCCAGACCUAUCGAGAGGUUGUGGAUCGAGCAUUGAUUGUAGAGGCUGGAGCGGCAGAUCUUUAGGAGCGUCGCGAGAGCUCGGAGAAGGGGAAGGAAAAGAGGCCCGCGACCGAGAGUGUGAGUCAGACGCACUCAUGGAGGCCGCCAAGGCACCCCAGGAGUCGGAGCCGGUCGCGGGGACGUGGCUCGUUUACUCAGCGAAGAGGACCCGAUCGUCACCAGGCCCCCCGCUGCGUGAUCUGUGGCGGUCCUCAUUACCCGCGGCAGUGUUCACGCAGCCGGGGCAGGUGCUUCUUGUGUGGCCAGGAGGGCCACUUUCAGUCGUACUGCCCGAGGAAUCCAUCGACAGCGCCAUCUUCGACAUCUGCACCAGCAUCGCCAGGUCCGAGUCAGGGGACAUCUUCUGCGCACCACCAGGCCGGACGGCCACCUGUUCCGUGGCAGGCGGAAGGGUCACGACAGGCCCCGAGCGGGUGCAUGUACGCGGCCCAAGCUGAGGAGGCGGCGGCAGCCGAGAAUAUGGUCGCAGGUAUCAUUUUACUUCAUGGUAUUCGAGUUAGAGCAUUGUUUGAUACCGAUGCAUCGCAUUCAUUUAUAGACCGGCUGUUUGCCGAGUUGUAUGGCAUCCCACUUGUAUCUUUGUUGCACCCGGGCCGAGUUGUUGUACCCGACCAUUCCUUGGACAUUCGGGAGUUUUGCCCCAGUUGCCCUAUUCGAGUUGGAGAUUGGAUCAUGCCCGCGGACUUACUAGUGUUGCAUAAACUCGGAGAGUUUGAUGUUGUGUUGCGCAUGGAUUGGUUGACUAAGUACUACGCCACUAUCGAUUGCAAGGAUCGAAUGGUGACAUUUAGAGAGCCGGGGCAGGCGGAGGUUGUGUACCAAGGAUGCCAGAGUUCGCUGUUUGCGAUGACGAUUAGCUCUUCUCGAGCUCGGCAGUUGAUUAGUCGAGGCUGUGUGGCCUACUUGGCUACUGUUGUGUUGAGGGGUGAUGAUGAUACCCCCAGGAUUGAGGAUAUCCCCGUAGUGCGGGAGUUUGGAAAUGUGUUCCAAGCUGAGCUUCCGGGCACGCCACCGGAUAGGGAGAUUGAGUUUGUAGUGGAUCUCGUUCCCGGGACCACACCAAUCUCAAAGGCGCCCUAUAGGAUGGCACCAGAAGAAUUGAAGGAGCUGAAGGCACAGUUGCAGGAUCUUCUGGACAAGGGUUUUGUGCGACCGAGUGUGUCACCUUAGGGAGCACCGGUCCUAUUUGUUAAGAAAAAGGAUGGAUCACUUCGUUUGUGCGUGGACUAUCGUGAAAUUAACAAAGUCAUGAUCAAGAAUAAGUAUCCAUUGCCGAGGAUCGACGAUCUAUUUGAUCAGCUACAGGGCUCUAGUGUGUAUUCCAAGAUCGACCUACAGUCGGGAUAUCACCAGUUGAAAAUUAAGCCUGAGGAUGUGUCGAAGACGGCUUUUAGAACACGGUAUGGACAUUAUGAGUUUACCGUUAUGCCGUUUGGGCUUACUAAUGCCCCGACAGCUUUUAUGGAUCUAAUGAACCGUGUUUUCAAGCCUUUUUUAGACAGGUUCGUUGUGGUAUUCAUCGACGACAUCUUAGUGUAUUCCCGGAGUGAUGCGGACCACGAGGAGCAUUUAAGGCUUGUACUUCAAGUGCUUCGGGAAAAGAAACUCUAGCCAAGUUGAAGAAGUGUGAAUUUUGGCUUAGGGAGGUGGCGUUUUUGGGCCAUUUGAUUUCAGGAUCAGGCAUAGCUGUGGACCCGAGAAAAAUUGAAGCUAUCAAGGAUUGGCUGAGGCCGACGAGUGUGACCGAGAUACGGAGCAUUCUUGGCUUGGCCGGCUACUACCGACGAUUUGUCGAGGGGUUUGCAAGAUUAUCUACUCUCCUCACGAGGCUCACGCAUAAAGGCACCAAGUUCAUUUGGAAUGAUGCGUGCGAAAGGAGCUUCCAAGAGUUGAAGCAGAGACUAACUACCGCCCCGAUCCUAACCUUGCCAGUUACUGGAGCAGGGUAUGUGAUUUAUAGCAAUGCUUCCUUUAAUGGAUUGGGAUGUGUUUUGAUGCAGGACGGGAAGGUGAUCGCGUAUGCUUCUCGCCAACUAAAGGAUUAUGAGAGGAACUAUCCUACUCACGACUUGGAAUUGGCGGCCGUGGUCUUUGCAUUGAAGCUAUGGCGCCACUACUUGUACGGCGAGCAAUGUGAAGUGUAUACGGAUCACAAGAGCUUAAAGUAUUUAUUCACUCAGAAGGAGUUGAACUCGAGGCAGCGUAGAUGGUUGGAGCUACUCAAGGAUUAUGAUCUGACGAUUCUCUACCACCCAGGCAAGGCUAACGUGGUGGCUGAUGCGCUAAGUAGGAAAUCAACGGAAAACUUAGCGAUGUUUGUGGUGAUUCAACCGCCGUUGAUCGAGCAGAUGAAGCGGUUGGAGUUGGAGGUGGUGGCUCCUGACACACCUUUGAGGCUGAUGACUUUGGUGGUGCAACCUACACUUAUGGAAAGGCUUAAAGAAAAGCAAGCUUCUGAUGUGGUGUUACAAAAGAUUCGAGCUAAGAUGAUUGAUGGUUGCGUCGGUGAUUUCACUUUGGACGGUGAUGGAUUGAUGUGAUUCCGCGGACGGUUGUGUGUACCGGCGGACUUGGGCAUUAAAGAGGAUAUUCUUCAAGAAGCACACCGAGCACUGUAUGCUAUACAUCCGGGAGGCACCAAGAUGUACAAGAACUUGAAGUUGCUUUAUUGGUGGCCCGGGAUGAAGAAGGAUGUUGGUGAGUUUGUCGCUAGAUGUUUAACUUGCCAACAGGUGAAAGCUGAGCACCGAGUUCCUGCGGGAAAGUUUCAGAGCCUACCGAUUUCAAUAUGGAAGUGGGAGAAGAUCACCAUGGAGUUCGUGAUGGGAUUGCCUCUCUCACAGGCCGGGCAUGACGCUAUUUGGGUGAUCGUGGAUAGGCUGACAAAAUCGGCCCAUUUCAUACCUAUCCACACUACUUGAACUGGUGAGAGACUCGCACAGGUUUAUUUGAAUGAGAUUGUGCGAUUGCACGGGGCACCUACUUUUAUAGUAUCAGAUCGAGAUCCCCGUUUUGUAUCCCACUUUUGGAGGAGCUUACAGGAUACUUUAGGUACGCGCUUGGAUUUCAGCACUGCUUUCCACCCCCAGAGUGACGGGCAGUCGGAGCGUACUAUACAGACUCUCGAGGAUAUACUUCAAGCUUGUGUGAUCGACUUCCAGGGAGGAUGGUCGUAGCAUCUACCUAUGGUAGAGUUUGCUUAUAACAAUAGUUAUCAAGCAAGCAUCAAGAUGGCACCUAUCGAGGCACUUUAUGGACGGAAAUAUAGAUCGCCACUUCAUUGGUGUGAAGUUGGCGAGAGAAUAGCUUUAGGCCCCGAUGUGCUCCAGAAAGCAGAGGACAAAGUUCGCAUUGCUAGGGAGCGACUAUUGACAGCCCAGAGUAGGCAAAAGAGUUAUGCUGAUAAGCGUCGACGAGACUUGGAGUUUCAGAUUGGAGAUCAUGUCUUCUUGAAAGUCUCGCCGACCAGAGGGAUUAGGAGAUUUGGAAUUCGGGGUAAGUUGAGCCCCCGAUACAUUGGACCGUAUGAGAUUCUGGAAAGUGUAGGCCCGGUAGCGUAUACACUUGCUCUACCGCCAAACCUAUUGGGUGUAUACAAUGUAUUCCAUGUAUCGGUCCUUCGGAAGUAUAUCCACGACCCGGCUCAUGUGUUGGAUGCUACACCAGUAGAGCUGAGGGACGAUCUGAGCUUUGAAGAACAACCCUUGAGGAUUUUGGCUCGCGAGGUAAAGAGGUUGCGGAACCGAGAGAUUCCCUACGUGAAGGUGCUUUGGAGCAAGCACGACGAGCGCGAGGCCACUUGGGAGUUGGGGAGCGCACUGCGGAAGCGCUAUCCCCAUCUUUUUUGGAUGGAGGCUUAAGGUACUUUGCCUUUUUCGAGUUUCGCGGACGAAACUCCUUUUUAGGAGGGGUGAAUGUAGCACACUAGACCUUUACAAAUUGGGAGGUUCGAGUGUUUGGACAGUGUCCUGAGCUUUUCUAGACUUUCUGGUGGGUCGUUGACAGUGUUCCGAUCUAUGGCCCAUGUCCCGAGAAUUGUGGUUUAAAGCUGUGUACCAAAACCCGAAAAAUCGGAAUCUUGGCCAGCUCUCGGGUUGCCUUCAGAGGGUCUUGUAACGGUACAAGGUUGGUGGUUGUACCGGUACAAGGUUGAUGGUUGUACCGGUACAGCCACCGGGCUUGUACCGGUACAGAGCCGCGGAACCCCCCAGACCAGAGCCUCGGGUUUGUGAUUUUCGAGGGGAUUGUACCGGUACAAGGGCCCGUGUACCGGUACAAGGGCCCGUGUACCGGUACAAGGUGGCAGAAUUUGAGCAGUUUGAACUGCAGGGGUAUUUUUGCGAUUGUGGGUCUCUUAUAACAGCACCCACGCCCCUAGGGCUGCUCUUUGAGCUUGCCACUACAGAAAGAAGGUAAGGGGAGCUCCUCCAUGCUUCUCUCUUGGAUUUGAUCUCUUUUUAGCUUCGGAUUUAAGUGUUGAUCCUUCUCUUUUCCCUUUUCUUUGCUUUUCCACCAUUGUGAAGCUUGGAGCUUGGUCUUGGUGGAUUGUUGAGGGAAGAUCUUGGGAUUUCAAGAGUUUAGAGCUUUGAUUGAAGCUUCUAAGAGGUAAUCCACUUAUUCUCUCCCUCUAGAUUGGAUUUUUAUUGAUGGUUUUGAGAUGAAACCGUAGAAUGAGGUUUUAGGGCUUAUUUUGGGCAUUUUGAAUCUAGAAUUUUUUGAGCUAAAUUAGUUGGAUUAGAAUCUUCCUUUGGGUUGGAUUGGGAGGAUUCUAGCUCUCUUUUGGAGCUUGAGGGAGAUUUUCUACACAUUAGGUAAGUUUUAGCCCUUUUGCCUUGUUGGUUAAUGUUUAAUUUUAUAGUUGAUCGUAAUGCCCGUGUAUCUCUUCGCUCAAUACUUUCAGGGUAUUUUGAGACUCGGGGACAACUUCGUUCGGCGAAACGAGGCACUACGCGACGGUUUGGUGGGUUUGACCUAGCCUAUAAUAUGAGAAAUUCUCAUAUAUGGCGAUAUAUGUUUCGUAAAUUGGAAAACUAUGCAUGUUCAUACUAAAUGUAUUUAUUAUGAUUUUUAGAAUGCUUAAAAUGCCUAUGUUACAUGUAAUGAAAUUUUGGAUCUCUAUGUAGUAGAGGAUAGCAUAUGAAGCUUAUGCGGAAUUUUUGGCAUUCUUAUGUUGGAUCAUGUUCCUUAGUAUAAAAAGAGCUUCGAUUCAUGCAUUUAAACCUAAGUUUAAUUGAGUCAUGAAAGAUAACUAAUAUGCCAUAAAGAGGCACCGAACCGGAAUGUUAUGUGAUUUAGAGAGCUAAUGCCAUCAAGCGACAUUGAGCUCGGGACAUAGGUGAACCUAGUGGAUAGGGCCAUUGAGGAAUGUGGAACAUGCUUAAGUAUUGAAUGUCUAAGUGUCAUAAAGGGGCACUAGACCUAGAGAACAUUGGAACUUUAUUUUGUGAUUUAGAACUAGAUCUUCGGGAUGCUAGUAACUAUACCAUGUUAGAGACAUGAUGAUUGGAUACGUGAGACGCUGACUAUGCUUGCUUGCCAUUUGUGCUCAUUCGCACAUGCUUGUGAGGGUCGCUCCCUACAAGCCGGCACUUCGGAGUUAGCCUACGCGACUUAUAUUCGCUCGUGCGGUAUUGAGAAACCUACGGGGUCGAGUGGGACAGACACAUUCCAAGAGUAGGAAUGUCGGGCUACCACAGGCACUUAGGUGGCACAAGCUGCACUACCUUGGGUAGGCCCUUAAUUGAAAAUAAAAAUCGACACAGUAUUGAGUGUGUUUUAAUCACUACUAGAUAGAGAUUAGUAGUUGGAUUACUUGGACUUGCUUCUAGCAUAGUUUUGGACACUUGAGUACACAUACUUAUAUGUAGUAUGCUAGGAGAUAUUGCUUAUUGCAUUCAUAUAUACAUUGUUGCCAUGAUAAAGCAUAAUCCUUAUAAAUUUAAAGUGAACUGUGACACUUACGUGUAGCUAUGCAGAGACAUAUUGGUUAUGAUAAAGUAAAGGUGCAUUAUUUUUAACACACAUGUUUAAUUGCAAUAUAGUUGCUUAGCAUUUUAAUUUUGCUCUCAUAAAUGCAGUUUAUUCUUUAUUAUUGCUCUUUUGACUCACCUUUUUCUUUUGGGGCCUAGUGGUGUAUUGAGCUGAGGUCAGUAAUUGCCCACUGAGAACUAUAAAUUAUAGUUCUCACGCCUCUGUUUUAUGUUUUCUUUCAGAGCCUUCCACGCCGGGGGAGGCCAGGGAUCGCGGAAAGGGUAUCGUCUCGGGCUAGUGUUCUUAGCCAAGGGAUCGUUCGAUAGGUGGCCCACCUCUCUUUGUUUCUUUUUGUGAGAGGUUGAGAGUUGUACCAGUGUACUAGAGACCACCCUUUUGUGUACCUUUUGGGACAGAUAUUGUAUUACCUUAUGGUUUACUUUUACUGUUUACUUGUAUCAUUUUACUUUUGCUAUAGAACGUAGAAUCAUACUGCUUUGAUAUCAUUAGUUUUUGCUCUUUCCUUUCGGCUAUGUUUCUUGCUUUAUUUUCGCUGUUGAUGUAGACGCCUUAUAUGUGUUGACAUAUGGCGGGUCUGGGCACGCUACCGGGAGGGCCUCUGCCGGUCCCGCGGCGUGACAUUAACGGGGGGAGUCUGUGACACCCCAAUAAUCCCACAUCGGAUGGGAAUGGGGUUGUCAUUGGGUUUAUAAGAGACUUAGACACUUGUAAUAAUAACUGGGCUUAAGCAUUUUGGGCAGGUGGUUUGGGCCCAACGAGUUAUUAUUGCUAGUGGAUCGGGUCGUUGCAAUUGGUAUCAGAGCCAAAUACCAGCCGGCAGUGUGAGAACUAAGUGCUAUGCGGGACAAAGUGCUACACCAAUGGGUUUGGUGGGAGCGACCACUUGAACCCGUAGGAGCCACCUCUAGAAUCUCACAUCGCCUGGUAAUGGUCCUGGUCUGUCUGUCUGUGAUCUGGUUUGGACCCGACGAGGACGUCAGGGUCUAAACAGGGGGACUUUGUAACACCCCCAAUAGUCCCACAUCGGAUGGGAUACUUAUUCCGAUCAGUUUAUAUGAGACCUACACGCUAGUAAUAAUAACUGGGCUUAAGCAUUUUGGGCCGGUUGUUGGGCCCAACGAGUUAUUGUUGCUAGUAGGCUGGGUCGUUACAAUUAAAAUAAAAAAAAAUGAUACCUCGGUGGAGGGAGGGAAAUCUUCAUGCAAAUACUGCAGAGCAAUCUGCAGAAGCUAAUUAAUGUUAACUAGUUAAGGGACCCGCGCGAUGUGGCGGAAAGUCAAUACAAUAGUAAAUUAUUAGAAUUAUGAACAUCAUUUUUUUCUAUUAUACAUUAAUAUUUUUAAAUAUUAUUUAUCUCCAUUGUCACGCUCGGGUACCAGCGGAAGCAUAUCCGGUACGUGCACAGACCUGCCAUACACCUGCAGUAUAUAAGGCGUCUACAAGAAAACAUGUCGAUAGAAGGAAUACAUAGAAGAAUCCUAUCCAGAUAUCAGAGCAAAAUAUAAGUCAUUAAUACCAUCAUCAGAAGAACAAAGAGUAUACUACCCAAAAUCUCAACAUCAUAAAGAAGUAUCAAAACUAUAAUCCCCGAUUCAAACUACUCAUAUACAUCACAGGGUUACUCAAAAUACAUGUACAAUGGUAGUCUCUCUAUACGCGGGUACAUCACCCUCGACCGUGGCACGAGUAGCAAGGUGAUCACCUAGUAAAAUAGCAAGCUAUGUCUAGCUAGACGCGACUCCCUUGCCGCGAUCCCUAGCCUCUCAUGUAGGUGGCUCUGUAAAACAACAAUAAAACAGGGCGUAAGAACUAUUAAACAAUAGUUUCCAGUAGGUAAGCCGCCAGCCUUGGCGAAUUAUACCACUAGGCUCAUGAUGUACUAAAUAAAAGUAAAAGCAAUAAUUGCAUGAUAUAUCUACAAUGCUAACAGGUGAUGAACAUGUAAUCAUACUUUCUAUAGUAAAUGAAUCAACUGAAUAAGAAGAGCAUGGCAAUUACUGUAAGCAUGAACAUAAACAUGAAUAUAAGCAUGAACGUGUAAGUAAAUACUGUACACUAUAACUGGUAAUCAUUCCUUACUAUUAGCUGUCAUUUGGAAUUUUAAUUUCAUUUAAAAAAAGACCUACACAAGGUAGUCCAGCUUGCGCCGCACCUAAUGGCCCCGUGGUAGUAUGCACUCCCCACGGCAAUCCACUUCGGCACCCAAUCCCGCACGGGCGAGCAAUCUGUCGCGUAGGCCAACUCCGGAGUGCCGGCUUGUAGGGAGCGACCCUCACAAGCAUGUGCGAAUGAGCACAAUGGCAAGCAAGCAUAGUCCAUAGUCCAACAUGUCUCAAUCAUCACGUUUUAACUUGCAAUGUUCUCGCUCUCGAUCCUUUGAUCGGAAUUUCAAUAUAAGGAAUAAUGACAAUAGCUAGUAUCCACUAGAUUAGUAAGCACAUGAAAGUAAUGUCAAUUUACAUAUGGCAUUAGAAACUUUUCACUAUCAAGGUACUAUCAAAAUAGUCACAUGGAAUGUCAUUAUUCUCUACUUUAUAGGAGCAUAAUAGAGAUGUCCAUUAGUUAUUCAACUGAACUAAACAUAACAUAAGUACUUUUAUGCAUAAGUGUUCUCUAAUUUAUAGAGAUUUCAUUUCAAAUAUAUCAAACAUUAUGGUGGUAUGUUCCAAGUCCUUUAUCAAUCACAUAACCAUAAAAGUGCACCUAUGCACCAAUUCUAUAGUAUCAUAUAGAACAUAGGGGAGCUUCACUUGCUCUGGUUAGGUCAAACCCACCUAUCACUAAGUCCAAUCCAACCCAAAGGAGUCCCGAAAUUUAGCUCAACUAGGCCUCAACCCUGCUAAAAACCAAGCAUCAAAACCUAUUGGAAACUAUUACCAAAAGUCCAAUUUCGGUAAAAUUCUCAAUUAUACUAAAUUGUAACUUGAAUCCCUGAUUUGGUUCACUUUAGUACUUCCAGUUGAACCUCUAAAGGCUCUCCAAUGCCAACCGAAGAUGAUUCCAAGGCCGGUUGCACUCUCGCUACGAACAACACCAAAACGGCAUCAAAAUACUCGCAUACUAGUUAAUAUAGCCGGAAUCUUGCGAAAUCAGUUUUCUAACUGAAAUUUCUACUUACCCCUGGUUGAAACACCUUCCAAACCAGUUCCCAAGGUCACCAAUUUAGCUCAAAGUGAAUCGGAAACCUGCUGCGAAGAAACUAUUCCCCACUGCAUUAAUUCGCUCAAUUAAACCGCGUUUAGUUCUGAAAUAGAAUCAUAAAUCACUAAUUACCUUUAUUCAGCUUCAAAGCAACUUUUUUCUGGACUUAAGUGGAGAAAUCACAGCUAGAUAACCCCUCUCUAGCUGCUGGAAUCCUUCUCCAACUCAGCUAAAAGCAACGAAAUCAAAACGGGUCAAAAUCCGACACUAAAUCGCAAACUAGAGAGAUAUUGAGCUAAUUACCUUUCUAAAGCUCUCUUUCAGCAACUCCCUGAAUUAGACAUGAAGAACACAGCCAAAACACUUCACUUCACCCUGCCAAAGCUGGCCCCAAGUCUUCCCAAAACAGUAAACGUCGAGCAGGGCGCAAAAUCGGCCGGAACGGCGAUUUCUACUCAAAGAGAGAGAAACUGUAAGGAAGUGAAUCCUCGAAAUCCGAGGAUUAGACUUCCUUUGGAAUCGACUGUUUGUCGAGUGUGUAGGCUUCGGAAAGUCCGAAGGUGAUUUUAAUGCCUAAAGCGCAUUAAGGAAAGGUCCACGGGAGCACCAGAGCGAAAUCUGCACUGGAGCAUAAAUGCUCUCGGGGACCGGUCCCUGGCAGGGAGGGACCGGUCCCAUCAGGUUGGGCUGCGGGGGUCUUUGAUGAGACCGGUCCCUGGCAGUGAAGGACCGGUCCCCGAACGUUGGCCCAGCAAAAAUAGCCGAAAUUUGGCUGUCCCGAAAAUCCAACUCUCGGGAACCGGUCUCUCGGACAAGGACCAGUCUCCCGGGGACCGGUCUCUCAGGCAAGGACCGGUUUACGAACGCGAAAUCCCCUCUGCCCGCAUGGAGGGCUCUCGGGGACCGGUCUCCCCGAGCUGGGACCGGUCCCUCACUACGAAAAUGCCCAAAGAGGGCUUGUUCAGAAGAUGAAAAGUUGAGGGGGCUAUCUACAAAAUGACCUUUAAUAGAGGCUGGGGGAUCUCUUCUCUCUCUCAUUUGCUCUCUAACCCUCUCACACUCUUUCCCUCUCUCUCUCUAGAAAGAAAAGAAGGAGAAGAAGAAGGAGAGGAAGAAAAUGAAGGAAAAGAGGAAGAAGUGGAAGGAGAAGACCAAGAAGAAGAAGAAGACCUUCUUCUCUCUUCCCUUCAAGCUAGAGCAAGCUUGGAGCUUAGUUUAGAGGUAAGCUCUAAAUCCUCUAAUGGUGUUUUUAGGGUUUCGGGAUUUUAUUGUUUAGAAAUGGUUCGAAUGGAACCCAGUGGAGAUGAAUAGAAGGUUCGAGCUCGAAUUUGAAGCUCGCACCACGGAUUUCCCCCUCGUUGCCAUUCUAGGGCACGGAUUUGGGAUUUUUGGAAAUCUAGGGUUUUGAUCUAUUUUAAUAGGUCGUAAACUAAAUUACUAGGUCUCGAAACACGUCGGCAAAGACGGUUUGUCGAUCCGACGAGCGAGUUUGGAGAAAUCGCCGAAUCGAGUACUUGAGGGCUCGCUUCGCCCCGAGGAGUUGAGGCAACGCGCAAGGACCGCAGCGUCGAGUUUUCUACCGUCGCAGCAUCACCAAGAGGUGGGUGGUGUCCAUCCCGAAGCAACCGGGCUCCCUUUUAUGUCUUAGUAUUUUGAGAUCUUGCAUCCUGUGUUCACAUGCAUUGUAGGAUAAUUAUGUAUUUGCCUUUUCUUAUGUUUCCUAGCUGAUAUCAGAUUAUGCAUUAGUUGCUAGAUAUAGGGGAUGAUGAGGAUUGGGUCGAGACUUGUAAUCCUAUAGUGCAGCAGUGAAAGAACGAUGCAAUAGUUGAAAUAAAGAACGAGUGGCAUCUAGUUGUUAAUAAACAAAGAACGAGUUGCAUGUAUGAGUCGUAGCGUAUAUGGAACCUAUUGACUAUGGUUACAGUAAUCCUAGAAGUUAGGGCACCCUUGAGGUGGGAGAAUUGGAUCAUACUCAUUGUCUGCUCCUAACUUGUGAUGGUCACUCCACACAAGUAGUGCGCCCCGGAGUCGGUCACGAGGGAUAGCCUAUGUGGGGUCCCGUGGGAUAGGGAUAGCCUAUUUGGAGUCCCGAGGGAUAGCUUAUGUGGGGUCCCAUAGACGGUCUCGGAUUCAUAGUAUCGAGACGGCUAUAUGAGUAGUGGGCGGAAUCCUGAAUGAGCCACGAGGUUAAUGAACGAGUAAAUAGCUUUACUUCUUGGACAUAUGAAGAGCUAGUUGAUUAUCUAUUUCAUUGUGCAUUCAUCCAUUACAUACAUGAUUCGGGCACGGUAGCGUAGCUUGCUAUUCUGUUAUUACAGCUUUCCAUAUCUAUCUAUCUGUUUAUCUACCUGUGCCCACUUGGACCUAGUGGGGAGACCGGCGGAGUCAGCGGCCGAACUUACUGGGAACUAUGGAAGAUAGUUCUCACCCCACUUUUUUCAGGUUCGAGCUCGGGUGUCCCCGACGAGCGCGAGGAUCGUGGUAAGGGCUUAGCGCCCUAGUUGCAUUAGCUAUCCACCUAUUUUGCAUUAGCUCCACCCUGUAUUUACGUUCGAGAGUAGAUGUUGUAUAGGGUGAGGUUUGAGUGCUUAUAUUUAUGUUUUGGAAGAUGUAAAAGCAUGUUGUAUAUAUAUAAUUAUGUUUUGAAGGUAAUCGAUGUAUCAAUGAAAUUAAAUGAAUGUAAUAGAUAGAACCUUUUCUCUUUAUCUACUUGUAUGUUUCAUACUUGUAUCUUAUUCUUAGUUGUUAGCACUGGUGGUGCUCCUUGUGAUCAUGCAUUUAUGAAUUGAUUUCUGGGUAAAUUCUUAUACACGAUCAGUUGGUUAGCCUUGGGCGAACAGGGGAGGUCCUGUCCGUUCGGCGUCUGUUCGACACGCUCGGGCUGGACUAAAUUGGUAGCGGUUGCGGGGCGUGACAGAAACCCUAGAGAGAGAAAGUGGGGAAGGUGCAAAACCCUUUUCUCUGAGCUCUAGCAUCAUCCACAAGCUCCAGGAGUCGUGCUGGGGCUAAAUAGAUAGGUAUAAGAAGUGAAAUUACCAAGUUAGCCUUACUGCCACGUAUCUGCCACUGUAUACCGGUACAAGGUAAUGGCUGUACCGGUACACAAUGCAAAAUUUCGCCAGAAAUACACUUUCUUGCUUCCGGCCAAUCGAUCACUUCUCUAACUUGUCCAAAAACUUGUCUAAGCCUUUUAGAAGAUGUAGGAUAGUUCCACUUAUCAUUCCACACACUCGAACUUCGCAAUUUGCUAAAGUUCAGUGUACUACAGUCACCCCUCCUAAAAAGAAGUUUCGUCCGCGAAACUUUAAACAAUUACCUCAAGAUUCCGUUGAGAAAGGCGGGGAUAGUGCUCCAAAAUUGCACUUUCCAAUUCCCACAUGGCUUCCCGUUCAUCAUGGUUGCUCCAAAGGAUCUUCACGUAGGGUGUCUCGCGGUUUUGAAGCCGUUUCACUUCUCGAGCUAGGAUUCUCACCGGAUGUUCCUCAAAGCUCAAAUCUUCUCGCAAAUCCACUAGGGUGUUUUCCAAUAUGUGGGUCGGAUCGAAAACAUAUUUCCGAAGUGUAGAUACAUGAAAAACAUUGUGCACUCCUGAUAGGUUCGGCGGCAAAGCAAGCCGAUACGCUACCGGGCCUGUCCGCUCCAACACCUCAUAAGGUCCAAUAAAUCGAGGACUCAACUUUUCUCGAAUACCAAAUCUUUUAACCCCCUUUGUUGGUGAAACUUUUAGGAACACAUGGUCGCCAACCUGGAAUUCCAAUUCUCACCGACAUUUAUCCGUAUAGCUCUUUUGUCGACUUUGAGCUGUCAGUAGACGUUCUCGUGCAAGUCGAACUUUAGCUUCGGUCUCUUGUAACACAUUUGGACCCAAAACUAGCCUCUUACCUACUUCACUCCAAUGAAGAGGUGAUCUACACUUUCUACCAUGAAGGACUUCAAACGGUGCCAUUUGAAUACUUGCUUCAUAACUAUUGUUAUAAGCAAAUUCUGCCAUAGGUAGGAACUGUGGCCAAUUGCCCUGAAAAUCAAUCACACAGGCCCGCAACAUAUCCUCAAGGGUUUGGAUGGUACGCUCGAACUUCCCGUCACUCUGAGGGUGGAAGGCAGUACUAAAAUCCAAUCGGGUACCCAGAGCCUCUUGUAAACUCCUCUAGAAAUGUGAUACGAAUCGGGUGUCGCGAUCUGACACAAUAGAAACAGGUACUCUGUAUAAUCGCAUAAUUUCAUCAAGGUACACUUGUGCGAGCCUCUUUCCUGACCAAACUAUAUGAAUCAGAAUAAAGUCGGCAGAUUUGGUCAAUCUAUCCACAAUUACCCAAAUCGCAUCAUGGCUUGCUUGUGAGCGAAGUAAUCCAACAAUGAAAUCCAUAGUAAUCCUCUCCCACUUCCACACAGGUAUCGGUAAGCUCUAAAGUUUUCCUGCAGGAAGUCGAUCUUCAGCUUUAACCUGCUGGCAGAUUAAGCAUUUAGCACCAAAAUCUGCAACUUCCUUUUUCAUUCCAGGCCACCAAUAAGUCAACUUCAAAUCCUUAUGCAUUUUCGUACUUCCAGGAUGCAAAGUAUACGGCACCCGAUGUGCUUCUUUUAAAAUUUCCUCUUUAAUAUUUGAGUCUGCUGGCACACAAAAUCUAUCACAGAAUUUUAACAACUCCUGAUCAUCCACUCGAAAAUCACCAACAUGAUCAACAAUGAUCUUUGCUCGAAUCCUUUGCAAAAAUUCAUCUUGAACUUGCUUUUCUUUAAUUCAAUCGAUCAGGAUAGGUUGCAUAACCAAUAACAUAAGUUGCCAAGGCGUGUCAGGAGCUACAACUUUCAAAUUCAACUGUUCCAUUGUCUUUAUCAAAAGUGGUUGCAUAGUCAUCGACGUCGCCAAAUUUUUUGUCGAUUUUCGACUUAAAGCAUCUACUACAACAUUAGCUUUUUCCGGGUGAUAGAGGAUAGUCAAAUCAUAAUCCUUGAGCAACUCCAACCAUCUGCGUUGUCUCAAGUUUAAUUCUUUCUGAGUAAAUAGAUACUUUAAGCUUUUAUGAUCUAUAGAAACCUCACAACGCUCACCGUAGAGGUAAUAGCGCCAAAGCUUCAGAGCAAAGACUACAGCAGCCAGUUCUAGAUCAUGUGUAGGGUAGUUCUUUUCAUAAUCUUUUAAUUGGCGAGAUGCAUAAGCAAUUACUCUGCCAUUCUGCAUUAAAACACACCCCAAUCCAUUCAGUGACGCAUCACUGUAAAUCACGUAAUCCACUCCAGGAACAAGUAGUGCUAGAAUCUGGGCAGUGGUCAGCCGUUCCUUUAGCUCUUGAAAGCUUCUUUCACAGGCCUCAUUCCACAGAAACUUAGCUCCUUUAUGUGUGAGUUGAGUGAGAGGAGUAGACAUUUUCGCAAACCCUUCUACAAAUCUUCGGUAGUAUCCCGCCAAACCAAGGAAACUACGAAUCUCUGUAACAUUGGUCGGCCUGGGUCAAUCUUUAAUCGCUUUAAUCUUCUUUGGAUCCACAGCUAUCCUGUCCUCUGAAAUUACAUGUCCCAAAAAUGCCAUUUCUCGAAGCCAAAAUUUGCAUUUUUUUAAUUUUGCAAACAGUUUCUUUUCUCGAAGUACUUGCAACACCACUUUUAAAUGGUUUUCAUGCUCCUCGUCACUUCGAGAAUAGAUCAAGAUAUCGUCGAUGAAUACAACCACAAACCUGUCCAAAUAUGGUUUGAAGACACGAUUCAUUAAAUCCAUAAAAGCUGCAGGGGCAUUUGUCAAUCCAAAUGGCAUAACUGUAAAUUCAUAAUGUCCAUAUCGUGUCCUAAAAGUGGUCUUGGAAACAUCUUCAAACUUGAUCUUAAGCUGAUGAGAACCAGAUUGCAAAUCAAUCUUGGAAUACACUUUCGAUCCAUGCAGCUGAUCGAAUAAAUCAUCAAUCCUAGAUAAUGGAUAUUUAUUCUUGAUGAAUAUUCUUUACAUCAUUCAUUUAAACAUGUUCUUGAUACCAAAAUCAUCAAAUACAAAAGGUGAUAUAUCAAAGGGUAUGCAACUAUGAAAUAGAACAUCUCGGGCGGUCUCUACCGAGGGCGCGAUACCCUUACCGCGGUCGUCUGUCAGCUCGCUCGGUCCCGGCUCUGUGAAAAUAGGGGUGUGAGAACUACAACAAAGUUCCCAGUGGGUUCGGCAACCAACCACGCCGACUAUCCCACUAGGUCUAAUCAGGCAUAAUAGAAUAGAAGAAAGAAGGUAACCAACUAGCAAAUGCAACUAAUAUACCUGAACAAUAAAAAUGUGAUGCUCGAUAUAAUGCUCAUGAUGAAUGCAAAAUUAUAAUUUCUUUACCCAAUCUCUUGGCUAACCCGUAGGUUUCGCCCUCAACAAACUCACCAACCCAAAAUCCUAUUUAACCGGAGAGAUACCCGCUACAACCCGAUAGGACCGUCCUCUAGGGAGAUACCCGCUACGACCCAGUGAUGUCGACUCGAGAGCACAUCGCCCGAGGGGGAGCUACUACCCUCGAGCAAGGACUAAAGGUGAGUACGAUCAAUCCUACAUUGAGGAUUCCAAGUUCAAUCCAUUCCUUAACUUUAAGGAAGACCAUGCUCAAAUGACCUUGAACUCUAUGGUUGAAAUGUCAUAAUGUCUCAAUUAUUCUUCCUUUGCAUUCUUUCUUAUCACUAGUGUCAUAUACACUACCAAGUUUUGCACUCAUGCUACACUUGUUUUCUAAGUGCUAUGUUCUUGUUCUCAUACCAAAUGUCACACUCGUUUUUCUAAGUGUUCUAGACUCAAACAUGUCACUCACUAAAUCUAUGUCCAUGUGUCACUUUGUUCACUAACCCUUCUAGGUUCUUGUCACUUAUCAAGCAUAAAUAGGGUUUUCAUCCUCACAUUCUUAUAAAUAUUUCAUACGAAAUUAAAUUCACAAUCAUAAAGUAAAGCUCACAAUUAACCCUACUAUGCACUAUACUAAAUAUAUACAUAUAUGUUCAAACAUGACAUUUUAGACAUAAAGGGAUUUCCGAGGUCCUUGAAAUGCACCACCCACCUCAAGUGGUCGUGUAGGUGAAGAAUACGACGACUCCCGAGCUUUACGAAAGCCACUUCCCCGUCCUAUAACCAAAUAGUGCCAUAUUAGGCCUUUUGUACAUGAACCAUACUUAAACAUUUUCGUAACGUCGAACGAAGUUACCCAACGCGUCGAGAACACCCCCAAUUAGGUUUCUACGGGAUCAAUUUGCCCUAGAAACACUCGGGGGCUAAAACCCCAAAUUUGGUGCCCUAACCUAACCCAUUGCUAAAUCCUAGGUCUUGAUCCCUAAAACAAGUAAAAGAGAGCUUGUUUAAUCUCUAGGAGCUCACCUAAGGCCAACUAGGCCAUUUCUAGAGCAUCCAAGAUGAAUCCUAGAAAUUCACCAUGAGAGAAGUCCAAGACAACCAUGGAUUUCAUGGUUUCAAGGUCUCUAGAGGGUUUCCUCACUUGUAGAGAGAUCAAAACCCAAAAAUCUAAGGUCUAAACCCAAACCCUAGACUUACUUUUGCAUAAGGACUCACCUUUGCCUAAGCUCCACCAAAGCCUUCUAGUUGGAGAGCUUCUAGGGCCACCAAAACCACCAAAAUCCACUUCUCCAAGCUCUUCUCCACCUUCUCCAAGCUCUAGGGCUUGCUUUCUAGAGAGAAAAAGGAGAGAAAAUGAGAGGGAAAGAAGUGUAUGUGUUUGCUGUGAAGAGGGAAGAGGGGAUGGGCCAUAUAACAUGUUGCAAUAUUUGCAAUUAAAUCCCCCAACUCUUUCUCUGUGCACUGCCCAGACUGGGCAUUUUUCGCAGUGAGGGACCAGUCUCCCCGACCUGGGACCGGUCCCCGAGAGCUCCUCCCGCGGACUGCGCAGGUUACGCGCGAUGCAACCAGUCUCCCCCAAUGCGACCGGUCUCUGGGGGACCGGUCUCUCCUCACAGGGACCGGUUCCCGAGAGCUGAUUUUCCAGGACUUAGCCGAUUUCUCAGCCAUCUCGCUGCCUACGCAUUCGGGGACCGGUCUCUCCCACCAGGGACAAGUCCCCGAGAGCACAAAACCUGCAGUUUGCAGAUUUUGAUUUCCAAAGCUCUCGAAGGUCCCCAGAAAUGCACUUUUGCAUUAUUUGCCGCCGUCGGCCUCUCCGGCGUGUACCAACCUCACACUUUGGUCAAUUUGACCAAGGUUCGAAUUUAAUUACCGAGAUUUCGCUAUGUUACAUUCUCCACCCCUUAAAUUUAGUUUCGUCCGCGAAACUUACUUAAUUGAGACUUAAACUCAUACCUCGACUCAGCUCGUUAAAGAGGUGAGGAUAAUGCUCCCGCAUUGAGCUCCCAAGUAGCUUCCCGAUCAUCGUGAUUGCACCAACGGAUCUUAACAUACGGAAUCUCACGAUUUUGUAGUUUUCUUACUUCUCGGUCGAUGAUGUAUGCCGGGAACUCCUCAUAGGUCAUGUCCUCCUGGAUCUCGGACGGUUCAAAUGACAGAACAUGCUCGGGGUUAUGAACGUACUUGCGGAGAUUCGAUACGUGAAAUACAUCAUGUACUCCCGCAAGCCUUGGUGGUAAUGCUAUUUUGUACGCCACCGCGCCGACCUGCUCCAAUACCUCAAACGGUCCGAGGUACCGGGGACUUAGCUUCCCCCGGUGUAACAUAUGGAAACUUGGAGUUGCGAUGUCAACUUUGACCUAGAGGGUCAAAGUGAGGAUUGAGCUAGUUGGACAUCAUCCCCGAGUGAUUUGUGAUGCGUGUGAAUGAAUUCUGGAGAUAAAUAAGUGUUUCGGCGCAAAUUGGGCGCGAAACGAAAUAUAAAGAGAAUUUCGGAUUUCCGACGCUAACUUUGAUUAAAAGAAUUAAAGUAAGGCGUGAGGAUAAAUUGUGGUAUCUCCGAAUCAAUUGUGAAGUUUUGGAAAAGCCAAGGGUGUGCUUUCAAAGGGUUUUGAAGUGUUCAGUGCGAAGUGGUAGUGCAAAAAGGAGAAAUUUCUGCCGUAUAAUGAAAUUGGAGCUGAUUCUAUUGCUAAUUCGGCUCCAAUAAUGUCAAAAUGCAAAGGAAUUGCUUCCAAAUUGGAUUGGUAGCUUGUGAAGGUCCCUUGGUAUCUUUUGGACAUGUUUGGGUGAAAUCGGAGUGAAAACGAAAACUUUAGAAUUUUCUGUAAAGAACGGGACUGAGAAAAUUAGCAGAAAAUUCACAGUGUCAGAAAAUUAUAAAAAUUGGCGGAGAUGUCAGGAACGUUGGUAUGAGGCCAGAUUUCAAGUUUCACAUUAUUCUGACACCCGUAGAGAGAGAAAUUAAAUCCGAAAGCUAUCGGAUAAAGAUUUCAGUUCGGUACAGUUCGCAGUGACCAAACGGGGUCGAAACUGAAAUGUUAAAAUUUCAGUGGACUUGUUAAGUAAAAACGAACAUUCCUGCCAAAUUUGAGCUCAAUCGGACUGUCGGGAGAGCCUGUGAAAGGUAUCUAAUCCGUGCGACUAAACGGAGUAUAAGUCGAGGGCAUAUUGGUCAUUAGCCAUGGCUUAGUGGAAUUCCACUAAACCAGCCUGCAGGGAGCCCUCAGCCAUCCUUAUCCCUCCUCCCCUCUGGUUCCAUACGUAGAGAGAGAGAGAAGGAGAAAACAAGGAGAAAGAGAAGAAGAAGAAGAAGAAGUAGAAGAAAAAAAAAGGGAAAGGUGCGAAUUCGCAUUUUUAAUCCUUUCCCCCUCAUCUUUUUUCCCUACUGCUGAAAACAGCAUCAGCAGCAGCUCUUGCUGCUGCUGCAAGCUAGAGCAGCAGCAGCAGCAGCAGCCCUUGCUGCUGCUGUGAGCAGAAACAGCAGCAGCAGCAGUAGCAUCAGGAGCAGUCAGCAGCAGCAGUAGCUGCUGUAAUAAUAGCAGCAGCAGCAGCAAGCUACUGCACAGCAGUACAAGCAGCAGCAGCAGCUUGGAGCAGCUGCUGUCAGCAGCAGCAGCUGCUGCCCUGCAGGGGCAGCAAGCUAGAAAAGAAAGGAAAGAAAAGAAAAGAAAGCAAGAAAGAAAGGAAGAAAAGAAAGAAAAGAAAGAAAAGAAAGGAAAGAAGAGAAAAGAAAGCAAGAAAGAAAGAAAAGAAAGAAAGAAGGAAAGAAAAAGAAGCGAAAGAAAGAUGCAAAAUAAGUUAGGAUUUCUAUAAAAACGGGGUUUAAAUGAAAACUGACCCCGGCAAUGCACUUUUGCAAAAUAAGAGUCCUAAUGCGAAAUUGACCGCGUGUAAACCAAAUUGAGGGUAAAAGAAACGCGUUGGCGAAGUCGGUUCGGCAAUCCGACGAACCUACGCAAAGAUAUCGCCAAAAGAAGGUUUUCGGCUAUAGUUGCCGCUUUAUAUAGCAUUGAAAUGCUAACUUGUAAAAUAUGAGUAAUGACUCUAGUCUAAUCUUUUCUAAUCCUUUAUAAGUGAAAAGUAAACAUGCCCAAGAGUCUAAAUUGACUUUCCGACAGGUCGACGACACGCUAAUUACGGUAGAGACCGCUCUAGUCCUAUUUGCACGGAGUCGCGAGAGAUAGUCGUCGACGCUUUCCGAGACGUGGAUUCUAGUUGAUUGACACCACUACAGGUGGGUGGUGCUAUCCGAAGUCUUUGAAUCACCUUUUAUGUCUAUGCUAUUCAUUGAGCAUAUUUACUUCUGUAUUCAUGCAUUAUAGGGUAUGGGCAUUGGCAUUAUGCAAGUGAUAUUGAACGUGUGAAUUCUUAUUGAUAGUAAGAACAUAUGAACAUUAGAAUGUGGACAUAGAACCCUAUGAAUGUAUGAAACUGUAAAGGACCAAGACAAUAGUAAACUUGGUGACAUCAUGACUAGAGAUUUGGUUAGCAUCGAGAAAUGCAAUUAUGAAACUAGUAUAAAGAACUAGUUAGAGUUAAAUUGUGACAUUGUUGUCAGUUGAAUCCUCUAAAGGGGGAUCAGAUCUUACUCACAUAGUCUGUUUUCUUAGCUUGGUGGUGGUCGCUCCCCCCAGGCAGUGAGCUCCGGAGUAGUCACUUGUUGGGCUAACGUACUUGCCCCAGGACUAACGUACUUGUCCGACAGACGGUCCCAUCGGGAGGCAGCUUAGGGCCCGUGAGGGAUUUCGUUGGUGAGUUAUUGUUAACCAAAGGGUUAACCAGUGAAUUGGGUAAAUUUAUGGGCUAACGUACUUGCCCCGGGACUAACGUACUUGUCUAGCUGUUAACCAGAGGGUUAACCAAAAGAUUGGGUAAAGUUAAUGAAAAGCAUGCAUGCAUAUUUACAGCUUUCAUAUCUGCUACUUCUUUCAGCUUUGUACAGGCAUUGUAGUAGUUACAUGUUAUAGUUGGUUACUAUCGGGUUACUUUUCUUGCCUACAUAUGCCUGAGUAGACCUAGUGGGUGAGUCGGCGAGGUCGGCAGCCGAACCCACUGGGAACUUUCUUGUAGUUCUCACACCACUAACCAUACAGGUUCCAGUGCGAGUGUUAUAGCUGAGGAUCGAGGCAAGGGCCCUGCAGUUUAGCUAGCUGACACAAGAGUUUAGUAGUUACCAUUUUGGCUUCAUGUUAUACAUUUUGAUGUACAGAGACAUGUAGAUGAAUGUAUAAAAAGCAUGUAAAUAACUUAAUAUUUCAGUUAUAAAGUUCAGUUGUGUAGAAUUUUAAAUUACAGUGAAUUUCAUUGUACAGUUAGUUUACUAUCACUUGUGGUUGUUGCUUGCCUUCGUGCAAGCCAUGUAUAUUGAAAUGUGAUCCUGGGAAUUGUUUAUUUCUUUAUACAUGUACUCGUUGUUGUUGAGCCUUGGGCGAACAGUGGAGGUGCUGUUCAUCGGCGUCUGUGUGCGGGCCCGGAUCGACCAAAUUGGCGAUCGCGGGACGUGACACCCGGAGCCCAAACCGUCUAAUUCCUCGCAUCGGCGAUAUCUUUAGAAAGACGUGGUCGCCAACUACAAACUCUAUGUCCUUUCUUCGCUUGUCGGCAUAACUCUUUUGCCGAGAUUACACCAUAGCGAGUCUUUGGCGGGCAAGGCGAACUUUCUCCUCCGCCUCUCGCACCACUUCCGGGCCAAGAGUAGCUCUCUCGCCCACAUCGCUCCAAUGGAUUGGAGAGCGACAUUUCUUUCUAUAAAGGACCUCGAAUGGCGCCAUCGCGAUACUCUCUUGGUAACUAUUAUUGUACGCGAAUUCCGCCAUCGAUAGAUGAUCGUGCCAACUACCAUUGUAGUCCAGUACACACGCUCGGAGCAUAUCCUCAAGUAUUUGUAUUGUCCUCUCCGAUUGACCGUCACUUUGAGGAUGAAAUGCCGUGCUAAAGUCGAGUCGUGUGCCUAAGGCCUCCUGUAGGGUCCUCCAAAAAUGAGACGUGAACCUCGGGUCCCAAUCUGAUACAGUAGACACGGGCACCCCAUGAAGUCUCACAACCUCGUCAAUAUAUACUUGGGCCAACUUGUCCUAUGACCAAGUAACAUGAAUCGGUAGGAAAUGUGCCGACUUCGUCAACCGGUCUACUAUUACCCAAAUUGCAUCGUGUCCACCUUGAGAUCGAGCAACCCGGUCACGAAGUCCAUUGCGAUAUUUUUCCAUUUCCAAACGGGUAUAGUUAAACUCUGCAACUUUUUCGCCGGAAACCGCCGCUCCGCUUUUACUUGUUGGCAAGUAAGACAUUGCGCAACAAACUCCCCAAUGUCUUUCUUCAUGUCCGGCUACCAACAAUACAAUUUCAAAUCUUGGUACAUUUUGGUGCCGCUCGGGUGUAUACUAUAAGGAGAUUGAUGCGCCUCUUGCAUAAUCCCCCUGCGGACGUCCUUGUUCUUAGGCACACACCAACGGUUUCUAAACCGGAGUGCGCCGUCGGUCCCAAUGCCAAAAUCACCGGCACUACCGCUCCCAACUUCGCCGCGCACCUUUUGGAGAUACUCAUCGGAAGCUUGCAGCUCUUUUAUCCUCUCCAACAAGGUCGGUUGCACUACUAACGCGGCAAGUGUAGCCGGCACUCCCGGCUCCACUACUUCCAAAGCAAGCCAUUGCAUCUCCUUUUGCAAUAAUGGUUGGGGUAUAAUUGCCAAAGCCAAAUUUUUUUUCGACUUUCUACUAAGUGCAUCGGCCACCACAUUUGCCUUCCCGGGGUGGUACAGAAUAGUGACGUCAUAAUCUUUCAGCAAUUCUAACCACCGCCGCCGCUGCCGCAUAUUUAACUCCUUUUGAGUGAACAAGUAUUUAAGGCUUUUGUGAUCCGCGUAGAUCUCACAAUGUUCCCCGUAUAAGUAAUGCCUCCAUAAUUUUAGUGCGAAUAUCACCGCCGCUAGCUCAAGAUCGUGGAUCGAGUAGUUCUUCUCAUACAUCUUUAAUUGGCGCGAAGCAUAUGCUAUAACUCGGCCGUUUUGCAUCAAGACACACCCGAGUGCAACAUAGGAAGCAUCACUAUAUACCGCGAAUGUCUCCCCCGGCGUCGGUAGAGCAAGCACCGGGGUUGUGGUCAAUCUUUCUUUUAACUCCUCAAAGCUCCGCUCGCAUUCGUGGCUCCAAACAUAUUUCACCCCUUUGUGUGUGAGGCGCGUUAGUGGAGUAGUUAUUUUAGCAAACCCCUCCACGAACCGCCGGUAAUAGCCCGCUAGCCCAAGGAAACUGCGAACCUCCGAUACGCUCGUCGAGCGCGGCCAAUCUCUAAUUGCCUCAACUCUCUUCGCGUCCACCGAGAUACCAUCGCCCGAAAUUACAUGACCAAGGAAAGUGACCUCCGAUAGCCAAAAGUUGCAUUUCUUCAACUUGGCAUAUAACUUCUCUUUUCGGAGUAUUUCCAACACGGUCCUCAAAUGCUCCUCGUGUUCUUCCUCGGUCCGAGAAUAUACCAAUACGUCGUCAAUGAAUACCACGACGCACCNNNNNNNNNNNNNNNNNNNNNNNNNNNNNNNNNNNNNNNNNNNNNNNNNNNNNNNNNNNNNNNNNNNNNNNNNNNNNNNNNNNNNNNNNNNNNNNNNNNNNNNNNNNNNNNNNNNNNNNNNNNNNNNNNNNNNNNNNNNNNNNNNNNNNNNNNNNNNNNNNNNNNNNNNNNNNNNNNNNNNNNNNNNNNNNNNNNNNNNNNNNNNNNNNNNNNNNNNNNNNNNNNNNNNNNNNNNNNNNNNNNNNNNNNNNNNNNNNNNNNNNNNNNNNNNNNNNNNNNNNNNNNNNNNNNNNNNNNNNNNNNNNNNNNNNNNNNNNNNNNNNNNNNNNNNNNNNNNNNNNNNNNNNNNNNNNNNNNNNNNNNNNNNNNNNNNNNNNNNNNNNNNNNNNNNNNNNNNNNNNNNNNNNNNNNNNNNNNNNNNNNNNNNNNNNNNNNNNNNNNNNNNNNNNNNNNNNNNNNNNNNNNNNNNNNNNNNNNNNNNNNNNNNNNNNNNNNNNNNNNNNNNNNNNNNNNNNNNNNNNNNNNNNNNNNNNNNNNNNNNNNNNNNNNNNNNNNNNNNNNNNNNNNNNNNNNNNNNNNNNNNNNNNNNNNNNNNNNNNNNNNNNNNNNNNNNNNNNNNNNNNNNNNNNNNNNNNNNNNNNNNNNNNNNNNNNNNNNNNNNNNNNNNNNNNNNNNNNNNNNNNNNNNNNNNNNNNNNNNNNNNNNNNNNNNNNNNNNNNNNNNNNNNNNNNNNNNNNNNNNNNNNNNNNNNNNNNNNNNNNNNNNNNNNNNNNNNNNNNNNNNNNNNNNNNNNNNNNNNNNNNNNNNNNNNNNNNNNNNNNNNNNNNNNNNNNNNNNNNNNNNNNNNNNNNNNNNNNNNNNNNNNNNNNNNNNNNNNNNNNNNNNNNNNNNNNNNNNNNNNNNNNNNNNNNNNNNNNNNNNNNNNNNNNNNNNNNNNNNNNNNNNNNNNNNNNNNNNNNNNNNNNNNNNNNNNNNNNNNNNNNNNNNNNNNNNNNNNNNNNNNNNNNNNNNNNNNNNNNNNNNNNNNNNNNNNNNNNNNNNNNNNNNNNNNNNNNNNNNNNNNNNNNNNNNNNNNNNNNNNNNNNNNNNNNNNNNNNNNNNNNNNNNNNNNNNNNNNNNNNNNNNNNNNNNNNNNNNNNNNNNNNNNNNNNNNNNNNNNNNNNNNNNNNNNNNNNNNNNNNNNNNNNNNNNNNNNNNNNNNNNNNNNNNNNNNNNNNNNNNNNNNNNNNNNNNNNNNNNNNNNNNNNNNNNNNNNNNNNNNNNNNNNNNNNNNNNNNNNNNNNNNNNNNNNNNNNNNNNNNNNNNNNNNNNNNNNNNNNNNNNNNNNNNNNNNNNNNNNNNNNNNNNNNNNNNNNNNNNNNNNNNNNNNNNNNNNNNNNNNNNNNNNNNNNNNNNNNNNNNNNNNNNNNNNNNNNNNNNNNNNNNNNNNNNNNNNNNNNNNNNNNNNNNNNNNNNNNNNNNNNNNNNNNNNNNNNNNNNNNNNNNNNNNNNNNNNNNNNNNNNNNNNNNNNNNNNNNNNNNNNNNNNNNNNNNNNNNNNNNNNNNNNNNNNNNNNNNNNNNNNNNNNNNNNNNNNNNNNNNNNNNNNNNNNNNNNNNNNNNNNNNNNNNNNNNNNNNNNNNNNNNNNNNNNNNNNNNNNNNNNNNNNNNNNNNNNNNNNNNNNNNNNNNNNNNNNNNNNNNNNNNNNNNNNNNNNNNNNNNNNNNNNNNNNNNNNNNNNNNNNNNNNNNNNNNNNNNNNNNNNNNNNNNNNNNNNNNNNNNNNNNNNNNNNNNNNNNNNNNNNNNNNNNNNNNNNNNNNNNNNNNNNNNNNNNNNNNNNNNNNNNNNNNNNNNNNNNNNNNNNNNNNNNNNNNNNNNNNNNNNNNNNNNNNNNNNNNNNNNNNNNNNNNNNNNNNNNNNAAGGACGGUCCUAGCUGGUGAGUUCCUGCGAUGAUGGACUUAAUGUGAAGCAAGUUAAAGUGGCGAAACCUCCGGGCUAGCCUUAAUGAUUAAAGAACAAAGAGUAAAGAACAAAGUGUAAAGUGCAAAGAACUGAAGAACAUGCAUAACCUGCAUUUAUUUAAUGUUGAGCAUAUUUCUUGCUAUUUGUUCAGGCAUAUUAGCAUCAUGUUAUAGAUUGGUUACUAUAUCUUACUUAUCCUUUCUAUUAUGCCUGAGUUAGUCAUAGUGGGAAAGUCAGUGAUGUUGGGGCCGAAACCACUGGGAACUUUGUUGUAGUUCUCACCCCACUAUUUCUACAGAGCCGGGACCGAGCGAGCCGGCGAGCGACCGAGGUAAAGGUAUCGUGCCCUAGUCAGAGGCCACCAAUGUUGGGUACAUUUUGUAGUAACGUACCCUAUGUUCAUCUUUUGUACUCGAUGAUGAAUGACGUAAAGAAAAGAAUGUAAUGUGUAUUUUGAGAUAAUUGUGAUGUAAGAAAGAAACGAUGAAACGAAAUGUAAGAAGUUCGAGGAAUUUCAAGUUGGAUGUAUGUAUAUGAUCUAAAUUGAAUCAUAGUACAAGUGAAUGUUUAGUUUUUCUCUUUCUUUCACUAAUGGCUAUUGCUUACCCUCGUGUAAGCCGUUUGUGUAUGUUUCCGCUAGUGCNAAUACCACGACGCACCAGUCCAAUAGCGAACGGAAGACUCUAUUCAUUAAAUCCAUGAACGCCGCCGGGGCGUUAGUAAGCCCAAACGGCAUCACCGUAAACUCAUAGUGGCCAUACCGCGUACGAACGCCAUCUUGUGCACAUCCUCAGGUCGUAUCUUCAACUGAUGAUACCCCGAUUAGAGAUCAAUCUUGGAAUAUACCCUUGACCCUUGCAACUGAUCGAAUAAGUCAUCAAUCCUCGUGUAAUAUACCGAAAAUUCGGAAAAUAAAAAUGUCGAACUUUAGUCAAAUUGACCAAAGUGCGAGGAUGAAACACUUCGGAAAGUCCGAAGGUGUUAAAAUGAUUAAAAGUGAGUUGUGGAAGGUUUUCGAGAGCUAAAGAAUUGAAUUCUGCAAAACUGCAGAUUUUCAGCUCUCGGGGACCGGUCCCUGAAGGGAGAGACCGGUCCCCGAACGCGUGCAGAAUGAGACAGCCGAAAAAUCGGCUAAGUCCUCGAAGGAUAGCUCUCGGGAACCGGUCUCUGCCUGAGAGAUCGGUCCCCCAGAGACCGGUCCCAUCGGAGGGAGACCGGUCGCAUCGCGCGCCGCGACUCUGGCUGCGCAGGGUGGACGUUCGGGAACCGGUCCCUGCUCGGGGAGACCGGUCUCUGCCUGCGNNNNNNNNNNNNNNNNNNNNNNNNNNNNNNNNNNNNNNNNNNNNNNNNNNNNNNNNNNNAAAGCCGACAGAGUAAGACGUGCGCAAGCCCCUGGCCAGAGAGGGAAGUCCCUGGCCAGGGGCUCUCGACUUUUAGACGUAAUGAGACAGCCGAAAAAUCGGCUAAGUCCUCGAAGGAUAGCUCUCGGGAACCGGUCUCUGCCUGAGAGAUCGGUCCCCCAGAGACCGGUCCCAUCGGAGGGAGACCGGUCGCAUCGCGCGCAGCGACUCUGGCUGCGCAGGGUGGACGUUCGGGAACCGGUCCCUGCUCGGGGAGACCGGUCUCUGCCUGCGAAAACUGCCCAGUUCGGGCAGUGUACUAAAUUGAAAGUUGAGGGGUUUUAUUGCAUUUUUGCAACCCAUAGAGCUAUGUUAGUGGGCUGAGGGACUACCCCUCUCAUUCCACUCCCUCUCACACCCUCUCCUCUCUUUCUCUCUCUAGAAGACAAAGAAGGAGAAGAAGAAGAAGGAAGAAAGGAAGGAAGAGAAGGAGAAGAAGGUGAAGAAGAAGCUUUUGGAGCAAAGAGGCUCCAUCUCCUUCCUCUCUAGUGCAAGAAAGGGAAGCUUACAAGGUAAGCUCUUAACCCUAAUGUAGUAAAACCCUAGAAAUGGGUUUGAAUAAACCUAGAAAUGGUUUUUAAUGGAAUAUCUAGUAGUUUGAAGCUCUCUUUUUGCUUCUUUAGAGAUCAAAACCUUGGUUUGUUUUAGAGGUGAGCUUGGACCACCUCUAGUGGUGAAAUCCAAACUAGGGUUUUGGAAAGCCUAAGAAUGGUUCUAAUGGGUUAUUUAGAGUAUAAUGAAGCUACUUUUGCUUCCCAAUGAGAUCAAACCCUAGGUUUGACAUGAGUAUUGGAGCUAGGGCACCAAAUUGGGGCUUUUGCUCAUGAGGGUUUCUAAGUGNNNNNNNNNNNNNNNNNNNNNNNNNNNNNNNNNNNNNNNNNNNNNNNNNNNNNNNNNNNNNNNNNNNNNNNNNNNNNNNNNNNNNNNNNNNNNNNNNNNNNNNNNNNNNNNNNNNNNNNNNNNNNNNNNNNNNNNNNNNNNNNNNNNNNNNNNNNNNNNNNNNNNNNNNNNNNNNNNNNNNNNNNNNNNNNNNNNNNNNNNNNNNNNNNNNNNNNNNNNNNNNNNNNNNNNNNNNNNNNNNNNNNNNNNNNNNNNNNNNNNNNNNNNNNNNNNNNNNNNNNNNNNNNNNNNNNNNNNNNNNNNNNNNNNNNNNNNNNNNNNNNNNNNNNNNNNNNNNNNNNNNNNNNNNNNNNNNNNNNNNNNNNNNNNNNNNNNNNNNNNNNNNNNNNNNNNNNNNNNNNNNNNNNNNNNNNNNNNNNNNNNNNNNNNNNNNNNNNNNNNNNNNNNNNNNNNNNNNNNNNNNNNNNNNNNNNNNNNNNNNNNNNNNNNNNNNNNNNNNNNNNNNNNNNNNNNNNNNNNNNNNNNNNNNNNNNNNNNNNNNNNNNNNNNNNNNNNNNNNNNNNNNNNNNNNNNNNNNNNNNNNNNNNNNNNNNNNNNNNNNNNNNNNNNNNNNNNNNNNNNNNNNNNNNNNNNNNNNNNNNNNNNNNNNNNNNNNNNNNNNNNNNNNNNNNNNNNNNNNNNNNNNNNNNNNNNNNNNNNNNNNNNNNNNNNNNNNNNNNNNNNNNNNNNNNNNNNNNNNNNNNNNNNNNNNNNNNNNNNNNNNNNNNNNNNNNNNNNNNNNNNNNNNNNNNNNNNNNNNNNNNNNNNNNNNNNNNNNNNNNNNNNNNNNNNNNNNNNNNNNNNNNNNNNNNNNNNNNNNNNNNNNNNNNAUAUUUCAGCUUAUCCUUUCUAUUAUGCCUGAGUUAGUCCUAGUGGGAAAGUCGGUGAUGUUGAGGCCGAACCCACUGGGAACUUUGUUGUAGUUCUCACCCCACUAUUUCCACAGAGCCGGGACCGAGCGAGCCGGCGAGCGACCGAGGUAAAGGUAUCGUGCCCUAGUCAGAGGCCACCAAUGUUGGGUACAUUUUGUAGUAACGUACCCUAUGUUCAUCUUUUGUACUCGAUGAUGAAUGACGUAAAGAAAAGAAUGUAAUGUGUAUUUUGAGAUAAUUGUGAUGUAAGAAAGAAACGAUGAAACGAAAUGUAAGAAGUUCGAGGAAUUUCAAGUUGGAUGUAUGUAUAUGAUCUAAAUUGAAUCAUAGUACAAGUGAAUGUUUAGUUUUUCUCUUUCUUUCACUAAUGGCUAUUGCUUACCCUCGUGUAAGCCGUUUGUGUAUGUUUCCGCUAGUGCUUUUCUCUAUUGAUGAAAAUGUGCAUGUGAUGAGCCUUGGGCGGAUAGGGGAAACUCUGUCCGUUCGGCGUCUGUUUGACGUGCUCGGGUCGGGCCAAAUUGGCAACGGUCCCGGGGCGUGACACCUCGGCAACGGGUACUUAUUCUUCACCGUAACCUUGUUCAACUUGCGGUAAUCCACGCAGAGUCGAAGUGUGCCGUCCUUCUUCUUAACGAAUAGCACCGGAGCUCCCCAGGGUCCACGUAGAGUCGAAAUGUGCCGUCCUUCUUCUUAACGAAUAGCACCGGAGCUCCCCAGGGUGACGCGCUCGGCCUCACAGAGCCUUUGUCAAGCAAGUCUUGCAACUGCACCUUGAGCUUCUUUAGCUCCGCCGGUGCCAUUCUAUAGGGAGCCUUCGAAAUCGGAGCCGCCCGGGUACCAAGUCAAUAACGAACUCAAUCUCCCGGUCCGGUGGCAAACCCGGUAACUCCGCCGGAAAUACAUCCGGAAAUUCACACGCCACCCGAAUACCACUAAGUUCCGGGCGUUCCUUCGGGGCUUCUACCACGGUCGCCAAAUAGGCUUCACAACCACCCUUAAUCAUUUUCCUCGCCCGUGCCGCCGACACGGUCAUCGCGAAGAGCGAGCUUUUUAACGUCUGAUACACUAGCUCCUCUCAAUUAGGCUCAUGGAACGUGAUCACCUUACUUUCGCAAUCUAUCACGGCAUAAUACUUGGAGAGCCAGUUGGUCCCUAAGAUCACGUCGAAAUCCCACAUUUGAUUCAACACUAACUGGUCGAUCGGCAUAGCACAAUCACCUAUCUGCACUGGGCACGCUACACACUCUUCGUGAACAUGGAAGGUAUGCUCGACCGAAUUCACCGUCCAAUAGUCAUAAUGAUGCACAAUAGUCAUAAUGAUGCACAAUCUUAAUGCCAUGAGUCCUAGCGAAUGAUGCAUCUAUGAAUGAAUGCGAUGCACCAGUGUCGAAUAAAGCUCUAGCUCUAGUACUUCUGAUCAAGAUAAUACCUGCCACGAUGUCGUCGGGAACAGGAAUCGGCUCCUCCUCCAACUGAGUGGCAAAAAUCGGUCCACUCGGUGCUCUCAAGGCCUCCGGCUGACGCGAUGAAGACAAGCAUCCAGCUGACAUAGCCGGCGGUAACCCCGCCUGCUGUCUUGGGGUAUAAAGAACUAAAGCCGAGGUCGGUGCAGAUGAACCCUAGCUAGGGCACUCUCGUGACACAUGUCCAGGUUGGACACACUUGAAGCAUUUCCCAUCCCGCUGCGGGCAUGAAGGUGGUUGAUGGUUACCGCCACAAAUAACACAACAAGAUGGCCUCCAACCCCUCGACUGCUGUCGGGGAUACUGAGGGGGUUUCUUAGCGUUUGGCCGGCCCCCGGUGCCACCCGCUGUCCGUUUUUUGCUCUUUUCUCCUUUGCCUCAGCUACGGACUCGCGCUCCUCGCGUUCGUGAGCAUAGCCAUGCUCCGCCCACAAUGCCCGAUCAAAGACCUCCGCAAAGGUCGUGAGCUUAAGAAUUUGCACGGCCCUAUGAAUUCCCGGCCGCAAUCCUCGUAGGAACUAGUCUGCUAGGUCCCUGUCAUCCCUAACAACAUCCGGGACGCAGUCAAUGAGGUGGGAGAACUCCUGCUCGUCGUCAGCCACCGAGCGAUCUCCUUGCCUCAACUUGGGGAACUUCUCUUGCAACUUCCGCUUCACCGUAUCAGGAAAAUAGUUGGCGAACACCGCCAUCCGGAACUCCUCCCACAACAUAGGCGGAAGAUCGGGUGAUCGGUCCCGCCUAACCCGCUUCCACCACACCUUCGCCGCCUUCUCGAGGCAAUGUGUGGCGAGGUACACCUUGUCCUUCUCCAAGGUGUUAAGGUCAUCGAAAAGUGUCUCCAUGGAGUCGAUCCAGGACUCCACCACCGCCGGUUCCACCACUCCCCCCUCGAAGGUAGGUGGGUUGAUUUUCUGAAACUGAUUGAGAGCCGCCAAUGCGCGCUCCCGCUUCGCCUCCUCCGCCGCACUAUCGGGGUUUGAGAUCCCCGAUCCAGCCGGCACCAUCGUAACUGGCACGGCCGCCGCGGCCACACCCUCGGUCGCACUCAGCACCACCGCAAGAGGCGCAGGGUGCACGGCCUCCACGAGCGUCGCCGCCGUCGCCGCCUGCUGUCGCUCCAGGGCCUCCUAGAGCCUUUGGAUUUGCUCACCUUGGCGCCGAACGGAUUCCGCCUGGUGCCGCACUACGCAAAUAAGCGCGGCCAUCUGCUCCCGAAGCUCCCCGUCGCCACCUGCUCCGGGUUGCACGGGAGCCGUACUUGACUACUCGGCCAUAGACCUCGUCUGCGGUCGACCACGAGGCAACUUAGGUCGUCCACGAGGCGGCAUUGCUUCCGAAAUGGAGCAACUCACGUUAGUUACCUAGACAACAUACUCGAUUAUACCCAAUCUGGUGAAAGCAUAUAAGUGUAUUCAUUUUCAUUCCGAAGCGUCAUGUCGUUGACCGUCGAUCAAAACACAAAGAAUACAAAACAAAUAACAACUUAAGUUAGUCCCUAACCACAUUAGAGACAUAAUUACACCAACCCAAUCCAUGCCUUCGCUAUAACUUGUUCAACAUCACUCACGUUUCCUAGGUCCUUAAGGUUUUCCAUUCCUAAGGGUCCCUAGGUCCAUCCUAUGCUUUCACGUUUUGGCUCUUUACGCUCUGAUACCAUCUUAUCUGUUACGCCCCGAGCCCGAUCCUUUUGGCCAGUUCGAGAGCGUCGAACAGACGCCGAACGGACAGAGCCUCCCCUGUCCGCCCAAGGCUCAACACAAGAAUCAAUAGAGUAUAAAUUUUGCAUAAGCGGAAGCAUACACAAUGGCUUGCACGAGGGCAAGCAAUAGCCAAUAGUGAAAGUAAAUAAUUACACUUAGGAAAUCGAGUACAAUUAUUGCAUUAUUUCUUUUUACGUCUCAUUUCUCCAAAAAUAUAACUUUUGUCCUUUACAUUAUUCAUUUAAACAUGUUCUUGAUACCAAAAUCAUCAAAUACAAAAGGUGAUAUAUCAAAGGGUAUGCAACUAUGAAAUAGAACAUCUCGGGCGGUCUCUACCGNCAUGAUUAUUGGGUAUUCGUUUAUUUAUUUACUUACAGUGCAUUUAUCGCUUUUGUUAUAAUGUACACUGACCCUUUUUCUAUAGUUUCGGGCCUAGUGGUGCAUUUCACUGAAGUCAGUAAUUGCCCACUGGGAACUAUUAUUUAAUAGUUCUCACGCCCCUAUUUCUAUGUUUCCUUUUCAGAGCCUUCAGCACCGGCGGAGGCACGGGAUCGCGGCAAGGGUGUCGCGUAGCUAGCUCGCAGAGAGUUCUUUUGCGCUAGGUGGUUCUCCUCCAUUUUAUAUUUUGAGAGAGGAAGAGGUUUUGUACCAUGUAUAGAGAGACCACCUUGUACUCCUUUUAGCACUUGUUAUGGGAUCCCUAUUAUACUUAUUUUAAGUUUCUAUUUAGUGGACUUUCUGCUUUAUGUCCUUUCCUUGUUAUAGAACUAGUUAUACAAUGCUCUGAUAUCACUAGAUCCCUUGAAUUAUUGUUUUAUCUAUCGAAAUUUUUGUAGACGCAUUAUAUGUUUUAGAUGUAUGGCGGGUCUGGACACGCGCCGGGUAGGCUUCCGCUGAGCCCCGGGGCGUGACAAUAAUGCUCAUGAUGAAUGAAAUUUACAAUUUCUUUACCCAAUCUCUUGGCUAACCCGUAGGUUUCGCCCUCAACAAACUCACCAACCCAAAAUCCUCUUUAACCAGGGAGAUACCCGCUACAACCCGAUAGGACCGUCCUCUGGGGAGAUACCCACUACGACCCAGUGAUGUCAACUCCAGAGCACAUCGCCCAAGGGGGAGCUACCACCCUCGAGCAAAGACUAAAGGUGAGUACGAUCAAUCCUAUAUUGAGGAUUCCAAGUUCAAUCCAUUCCUUAACUUUAAGGAUGACCAUGCUCAAAUGACCUUGAACUCUAAGGUUGAAAUGUCAUAAUGUCUCAAUCAUUCUUUCCUUUGCAUUCUUUACUAUCACUAGUGUCAUAUACACUACCAAGUUUUGGACUCAUGCCACACUUGUUUUCUAAGUGCUAUGUUCUUGUUCUCAUACCAAAUGUCACACUCGUUUUUCUAAGUGUUCUAGAGUCAAACAUGUCACUCACUAGAUCUAUGUCCAUGUGUCACUUUGUUCACUAACCCUUGUAGGUUCUUGUCACUUGUCAAGCAUAAAUAGGGUUUUCAUCCUUACAUUCUUACAAAUAUUUCAUACGAAAUUAAAUUCACAAUCAUGAAGUAAAGCUCACAAUUAACCCUACUAUGCAAUAUGCUCAAUAUAUACAUAUAUGUUCAAACAUGACACUUUAGAUAUAAAGGGAUUUUCGAGGUCCUUGAAAUGCACCACCCACCUCAAGUGGUCGUGUAGGUGAAGACUACGACGACUCCCGAGCUUUACGAAAGUCGCUUCCACGUCCUAUAACCAAAUAGUGUCAUAUUAGGCCUUUUGUACAUGAACCAUACUUAAACAUUUUCAUAACGUCGAACAAAAUUGCCCAACGCGUCGAGGAUACCCCCAAUUAGGUUUCUACAGGGUCAAUUUGCCCUAGAAACACUCGGAGGCUAAAGCCCCAAAUUUGGUGCCCUAACCAAACCAUUGCUAAAUCCUAGGUCUUGAUCCCUAAAACAAGCAAAAGAGUGCUUGUUUAACCUCUAGGAGCUCACCUAAGGCCAACUAGGCCAUUUCUAGGGAAUCCAAGAUGAACCCUAGAAGUUCACCAUGAGAGGAGUCCAAGACAACCAUGGAUUUCAUGAUUUCAAGGUCUCUAGAGGGUUUCCUCACUUGUAGAGAGAUCAAAACCCAAAAAUCUAAGGUUUAAACCCAAACUCUAGACUUACUUUUGCAUAAGGACUCACCUUUGCCAAAGCUCCACCAAAGCCUUCUAGUUGGAGAGCUUCUAGGACCACCAAAACCACCAAAAUCCACUUCUCCAAGCUCUUCUCCACCUUCUCCAAACUCUAGGGCUUGCUUUCUAGAGAGAGAAAGGAGAGAAAAUGAGAGGGAGAGAAGUGUGUGUGUUUGCUGUGAAGAGGGGAGAGGGGAUGGGCCAUAUAACAUGUUGCAACAUUUGCAACUAAGUCCCCAAACUCUUUCUCUGUGCACUGUCGAGACUGGACAUUUUUCGCAGUAAGGGACCGGUCUCCCCGACCUGGGACCAGUCCCCGAGAGCUCCUCCCGCGGACUGCGUAGGCUAUGCGCGAUGCAACCGGUCUCCCUCAAUGGGACCGUUCUCUGGGGGACCGAUCUCUCCUCACAGGGACCAGUUCUCGAGAGCUGAUUUUCCAGGACUUAGCCGAUUUCUCAGUCAUCUCGCUGCCUACGCGUUCGGGGACCGGUCUCUCCCACCAGGGACCGGUCCCCGAGAGCACAAAACCUGCAGUUUGCAGAUUUUAAUUUCCAAAGCUCUCGAAGGUCCCCAGAAAUACACUUUUGCAUUAUUUGGCGCCGUCGGCCGCUCCGAAGUGUACCAACCUCGUACUUUGGUCAAUUUGACCAAGGUUCGAAUUUAAUUACCGAGAUUUCGGUAUGUUACAGGUAGUCCCAGGGAUAUAGUCUAUCACAAACUCAACUUCUCUAUUAGGUGGCAUGCUCGGCAACUCAGCUGGGAACACAUCCUCGAAUUCCCGCACAACCGGGAUAUCAUCAAUCUUGGCAGCUCCUCCAUCACUCCCGGAAAUACUAGCCAAAUAGGCUACACAACUUCUCCGUAUCAACUGUCGCGCUCGCGAAGAGCUAAUUGUCAUUGCGAAUAAUGAACUCUGGCACCUCUUAUAAACAAACUCCUGCUGACCCGGUUCCUUAAAGGUCACCGUUCUGUUCGUGCAAUCAAUGGUAGCAUAAUACUGUGUCAACCAAUCUAUACCCAAUACUACAUCAAACUCCCCUAGUUUGUGUAGUGCUAAUAAAUCAACUGGCAUAAUCCAGUCACCUAUCCGAACGGGGCAGUAAGGGCAAAACUCACGAACAUCUAAGGUAUGGUUGGGCACGAUCACUCGUCCCGGAUGCAAAGUACGUACUAAUUUAAUGCUAUGCAACUCGACAAACUACCGAUCAAUAAAAGAAUGCGAAGGAGCAGUAUCAAAUAAUGCACGAACACGAAUAUCAUAAAUCAUAAUAAUACCUGCGACUACCUCCUCUGCUGCUGCAGCCUCAGUCUGGGCGGCAUACAUACGCCCACUCGAACCCUGCUGAGAACUCUUAGAUUGUCGUUGUCCCGGUGGUCGUCCAAACUGAUACGGUGCUGUCAGGGUCCCCUGACUCGGAGCUGAAGAUGCAGGUGCAGAUGCUGAUGAUGGGGCAGGCGAAGAACCUCUUGGGCACUCUGAGUGAAAGUGGCCUUCCUGGCCGCAGAUAAAACACUUGCCCCCAUGUUGUGGACACUGUGGCGGAAAGUGAGGCCCACCACAAAUGACACAACGUGGCUGUCGACGACGCUCGGGCGCUCCACGGGGUGCUAAAGAACCUCGCCCCCUCGGCUGACUCGGCUGGCCUCUCGGGUACUUUAGCGGCCUCCUGAAAGGUUGCUGACCACUACUCUCAGUCCCUGGCCUCUUUCCUUUACUUUGAUCCACUGUUUCCCUUUCUUUCACAAUCUUUGCUCCUUUCUCCACAAUCAAUGCUCUAUUCACCACCUCCCUGUAAGUAGAAAGGUUUGACGCCUGGACCAAUCUGAAGAUCGCGGGUCGCAAACCUACCUAAAAAAUACGGGCCUUGUCUUCAUCGUCUCGAACCACAAAAGGAACACAAUGUAACAGUCGAGAAAACUCUCGCUCAUACUCCACUACUGUCCUAUCCCAUUACCUCAGAUUUCUUAGGUCCCUUUUCAUCUGUCUCUUUACACUUUGCGGAAAAUAGGUUGUCAACAAUAAUUCCUUGAACCUCUUCCAAGUGAUCGCUGACAAAUCUACACAGGGGUCCUCACGAAUAUCUAGCCACCACCUGUAAGCCUCGCCGUCAAGAUGGUGUGUCGCGAACCAUACCCGGUAUCGCUCCUCAACAAAAGUAUCAUAAAAUAGCUUCUCCAUAUGCAUCAGCCAUUUCUCGACAACCCAAUGAUAUGCUUUCUCCCCGUCAAAUAUACGAGGGUUGCAACGACGGAAUUCAUUCAGUCAUUCCAUCAUCCGCUCGCUCCUCAACCCCCACCAUCUCUGGCAACACUGUCCCUGUCGUAGCCGUAUGCACGGGUGGUGGUACUACUGUCUCCUGUCGGGUCUCUACCCUCGGAGCUACUGCUGGGGUAUCUUGUGCUGGUGACUGCGCUCUCACUAUCAUAUCCCUAUCUGGUACUGUAGGCAUAGGAUCAGGAAUCUCGCUGUCAGUCGUCUGCCGCAGUAAAAAAUCCUCUAACCGCUUCAUCCUUUUCUCCGGUCUGCGCGCAACAUCCAUCUGUUGUCGCGCUGUCGCAGCCUGCUGAGUCACCAAAUCUGUCAGCAUCGCAAGCUGAUCCUGCAACUCACGGACCUCACUAGACCCGGAGGUAACGGAGGUCUCCACUUUCUCCGCCUCAGCCGCCUCAGCUGCAUCGGCGUUCCUAGAACGAGUCGUAGGCAUCUUAAGCUACAACACAAAAACAAACAUGAAUUAAUAAAACUUAUACUAUUGAACCCCCACUUCUGAUAUAGACCACCCAAUCAAGCGAAAGUAAUGAAAUGUAACAUAUAUUAACUUCCGAUGUCACGUUGUCGGCCGACAAUGUGGCCCUCUGCAAAGUUAGUAAUUGCAAAUUCCGAUCAAACUCCUACCAUUCGGAGUUUAUAAGUUAUCCAAUCAAAGUACUUUCACUAGAAACUUGACUAGACCUCGUUUCUCAUGAGCCUAUUCUUAUAGUCCAACCAGCCUAAGAUUCGUUAGGUCUACUAAGACUCAACCCUAGGCUCUGAUACCACUAUAAUCUGUCACCCCCGGGUACCAGCGGAAGCAUAUCCGGUACGUUUACAGACCCGCCAUACACCUGCAGUAUAUAAGGCGUCUACAAGAAAACAUGUUGAUAGAAGGAAUACAUAGAAGAAUCCUAUCUUGAUAUCAGAGCAAAGUAUAAGUCAUUAAUACCAUCAUCAAAAGAACAAAGAGUAUACUACCCAAAAUCUCAACAUCAUAAAGAAGUAUCAAAACUAUAAUCCCCGAUUCAAACUACUCAUAUACAUCGGGUUACUCAAAAUACAUGUACAAUGGUAGUCUCUCUAUACGCGGGUACAUCAUCCUCGGCCGUGGCACGAGUAGCAAGGUGAUCACCUAGUAAAACAGCAAGCUAUGUCUAGCUAGACGCGACUCCCUUGCCGCGACCCCUAGCCUCUCCUGUAGGUGGCUCUGUAAAACAACAAUAAAACAGGGCGUGAGAACUAUUAAACAAUAGUUUCCAGUGGGUAAGCCACCAACCUUGGCAAAUUACACCACUAGGCUCAUGAUGUACUAGAUAAAAGUAAAAGCAAUAAUUGCAUGAUAUAUCUACAAUGCUAACAGGUGAUGAACAUGUAAUCAUACUUUCUACAGUAAAUAAAUCAACUGAAUAAGAAGAGCAUGGCAAUUACUGUAAGCAUGAACAUAAACAUGAAUAUAAGCAUGAACGUGUAAGUAAAUACUGUACACUAUAACUGGUAAUCAUUCCUUACUAUUAGCUGUCAUUUGGAACUUUAAUUUCAUUUAAAAAAAGACCUACACAAGGUAGUCCAGCUUGCGCCGCGCCUAAUGGCCCCGUGGUAGUAUGCACUCCCCACGGCAAUCCACUUCGGCACCCAAUCCCGCACGGGCGAGCAAUCUGUCUCGUAGGCCAACUCCGGAGUGCCGGCUUGUAGGGAGCGACCCUCACAAGCAUGUGCGAAUGAGCACAAUGGCAAGCAAGCAUAGUCCAUAGUCCAACAUGUCUCAAUCAUCACGUUUUAACUUGCAAUGUUCUCGCUCUCGAUCCUUUGAUCGGAAUUUCAAUAUAAGGAAUAAUGACAAUAGCUAGUAUCCAUUAGAUUAGUAAGCACAUGAAAGUAAUGUCAAUUUACAUAUGGCAUUAGAAACUUUCUACUAUUAAGGUACUAUCAAAAUAGUCACAUGGAAUGUCAUUAUUCUCUACUUUAUAGGAGCAUAAUAGAGAUGUCCAUUAGUUAUUCAACUGAACUAAACAUAAACAUAAGUACUUUUAUGCAUAAGUGUUCUCUACUUCAUAGAGAUUUCAUUUCAAAUAUAUCAAACAUUAUGGUGGUAUGUUCCAAGUCCUUUAUCAAUCACAUAAUCAUAAAAGUGCACCUAUGUACCAAUUCUAUAGUAUAAUAUAGAACAUAGGGGAGCUUCACUUGCACUGGUUAGGUCAAACCCACCUAUCACUAAGUCCAAUCCAGCCCAAAGGAGUCCCGAAAUUCAGCUCAACUAGGCCUCAACCCUGCUGAAAACCAAGCAUCAAAACCGUAUUGGAAACUAUUACCAAAAGUCCAAUUUCGGUAAAAUUCUCAAUUGUACUAAAUUGUAACUUGAAUCCCUGAUUUGGUUCACUUUAGUACCUCCAGUUUAACCUCUAAAGGCUCUCCAAUGCCAACCGAAGAUGAUUCCAAGGUCGGUUGCACUCUCGCUGCGAACAACACCAAAACGGCAUCAAAAUACUCGCAUACUAGUUAAUAUAGCCGGAAUCUUGCGAAAUCAGUUUUCUAACUGAAAUUUCUACUUACCCCUAGUUGAAACACCUUCCAAACAAGUUCCCAAGGUCACCAAUUUAGCUCAAAGUGAAUCGGAAACCUGCUGCGAAGAAACUAUUCCCCACUGCAUUAAUUCGCUCAAUUAAACCGCGUUUAGUUCCGAAAUAAAAUCAUAAAUCACUAAUUACCUUUAUUCAGCUUCAAAGCAACUUUUUCCUGGACUUAAGUGGAGAAAUCACAGCUAUAUAACCCCUCUCUAGCUGCUGGAAUCCUUCUCCAACUCUGCUGGAAGCAACGGAAUAAGAACACGUCAAAUUCCGACGAUAAACCGCAAACUAGAGAGAAAUUGAGCUAAUUACCUUUCUAAAGCUCUCUUUCAGCAACUCCCUGAAUUAGAUAUGAAGAACACAGCCAAAACACUUCACUUCACCCUUCUAAAGCUGGCCCCAAGUCCUCCCAAAACAGUAAAUAUCGAGCAGGGCGCAAAAUCGGCGCGGAACGGCGAUUUCUACUCAAAGAGAGAGAAAUCCUAGAGAGAGAAAGUGGGGAAGGUGCAAAACCCUUUUCUCUGAGCUCUAGCAUCAUCCACAAGCUCCGGGAGUCGUGCUGGGGCCAAAUAGAUAGGUAUAAAAAGUGAAAUUACCAAAUUAGCCUUGCUGCCACGUAUCUGUCACUGUGUACCGGUACAAGGUGAUGGCUGUACCGGUACACAAUGCAAAAUUUCACCAGAAAUGCACUUUCUUGCUUCCGGCCAAUUGAUCACUUCUCUAACUUAUCCAAAAACUUGUUUAAGCCUUUUAAAAGAUGUAGAAUAGUUUCACUUAUCAUUCCACACACUCGAACUUCGCAAUUUACUAAAGUUCAGUGUACUACAUCCAUAUUGAAUAAUUAAAAUUUAAAGAAUAAAAUUAAAAUAUAUUUCUUUCUAAAAAUACUUAAAUCAAAUAAAUAAAAUGAAUAAAUCAAUUUAAAAUAAAACAAUAGCUUAUUACAGUAUUAAGAAAGCUAAAUAAUAUUUUUCUAUUAUCAUCAAGAUAGAAUGUACAANUUAUACCUUCAUUACCUUUUAUCGUUACAUAUAUAACUAAUAAAGUAUUCGAUUCCUAAAUUUAAAUUAACAAAAAAAUUAGUAGAUAAUCAUCAUAAACAUAAAAAUUAAGACUAAUCAAAAGAUAUGCAAAAUCAAAAUAGAUGUUUUUUAUACUGAAAAAAAAAAUUAACUACCAAAUAUUAUAUUAUUAUAUACAUUAAUCCUAAAAAAAUUAUUUGUAAAUAACAUAUAAAUAAAUAAAUAAAUAAAUAUUAUGAGAAAAAAAAAAAAAAAAAAAGCCGGCCCCACAUGCCCCCCCAAACCCGGGGAGCCCUUGUGGGUUCCCAAUUCACCUUAAAUAAUUGUUUGUGAGCUAAAGCGAAAAAUAUACAAAGUUUAGAAAUUAAUGAUGCUAAUAGUUCUAAUAAAUAAAUAAAAUAUAAAUAAAUAAAUAAAUAAAUAUUGUGAGAGAGAGUGAAAGAGAGAAACCAAAAAGAAAAAAAAAAGGGCCUCACAGGGCCCCCCAAACCCGGGGAGCCCUUGUGGAUUUAAAAAAGAAGUGAGCCCUACAGGGCCCCCCAAACCCACACUAUAACAGAAUUAGAUUAUAGGGACACAUGUUUGGGACACUUUUGUGUAAGUGUCCAAUUUAUGCCAAAACUUAAAAAAUAAUCUACUAAUGCCUAUAUAUAAAGCCCAAUCCAACCAAAAAUAAAAGGUUAUUCUACUCAACCCACCUCACCCAGCCCAUUCGGCCCGAUUACAAACAGAAAAAAAGAAAAAGAAAAAUUGAUUACCAUCUCUUCUUCUCCCCUCACUCAAUCCAUUGAAACCCUAGACGAAGAGCCCUUCCCUCUGGUCCUCCUCCGCCACCGCAGCCAACGAGGUAGAGUUUCGAUGGUUGCUAAAUAUUUAAAUAAGUGUUGGUAAAUUAGUAGCACUUUUUUUAGGUUAUAGUGACACUCUUUAACUGUCACUAUAUAUCUAGCGACCCCACAUAUAGCAACAUUUUUUAAGAGUGUCGGCAAUUUAGCUAGCAACAUUUUUUUUGACCUGUGCUGACAUUUAAAAGUGUCGCUAUAGACCGUUUUUGUUGUAGUGCCAGAGAGCCUUGUGGGUUCCCAAUUCAUGUAUUUAUAUAGUUAGUAAUCCGUGCUACGCAACAAUUUUUUUUUCAUACUUUAUAAAUAAUUAAUAAAUAAUAAAAUAUUUUUAUUUAUAAAGUAAAUAACAAUAUAUUUGGCUCUAUUAAAUAAAAAAAUUUUACAGUUAUUUUCUAUCACAAAGUAAUACGUGUUUACUAUAUAUUUUUGAUAGGCCAAACUAAAAUUUCCUUGGUUACUGAAGAGAUGGCAUAGUUUUUCCGAAUCAGUUCCAAGUUUAUUGAAAACAAAGGCAAGUUCUUUUAGAAUUACAUAAAUACAGGUAUUCAAUUUAUCAAUUAGAACUACAUCGACCAUGACAAAAAUUAAAAGUUUAAAUUGAAUAAAACAAUACAAAUCAAUAUCAUGAUUUCCACUGCCCUUUUAAACGCAAAAUUUAAAUAGUUUGCCUACAAUGGUUAGUGCUCCUUAGGCAAUAUCUAUCAAACCACAAAUAAUUAACUCCUAGCAUCCGAACUAACCAUUGGUAUUAUUAUAUCAUCAUACCUAGCUUUUAGCGAAAAUGUAUAAAAAGUCUCCUAUAGCUAGAUGCAUCUUUAUUGCCUUUUAAUAGAUGCGUAUGAGAGGAUCAAACCUCCGACCUGUCGGCGACUAUGCUAGGCACUGGUGAUGAGACGAUUAGCUAUAGUUAGCAAAGCCCAACACAAAUAUAUUUGUACUCAACACGGUUUUUACCCCUUUUUUUCUAAGGGGAAGAACUGUUAUGUUCAGACCGAAUUAUCACAUUGAACCAGCUGAACUCGGUUAAUCUAUUCAAUUUUCUCAAUAGUUGGUUAAGUUUGAUUAUUCACUUAGUUUGAGAAUUCAAUUAGCCAAGAUAACCAAAGGAGCAAAUAGAUAGCUAUUGGAUACGUUAGCCGAUAAAUGAUGAUUGAACAAUUGGAGUGCUUAAUUACUAUAGCUGUUGAAUCAAAGCUUUAAUGCACAUGAUAAUUCCAUAUCUGCACUGAUCUCAUCUACCGCAAUUGGCUGAGAAUUUGAUACUGGUUAUCUGGACACUUGCAAAGACAGGAUCCCUGGAAAGAAAAGCAUCUACCUCAAACAUCUUCCUUCAUUUAUCAGAACAACAGAUCCUCAUGACGUCUCACUAAGCACGGAAAUUGAAUUAGCUAAGAUUUGUUCAAGAGCUUCCGGUUUAAUCUUCGACACAUUUGAUAACCUCGAGAAUGAAAUCAUAAAACCUCUUAUUGCAUAACAAGAUGAAGCCUAUGCACUUGAGCCUUUCGAAAGCUAUGAUUGCAUAGUGGCUAAAAAAUCAAAAGAAUGUUUCUGCUAUUUUUGUGAGCUUUGGGAGCACCAUAUCAAUAACAUCCCAGGAUUUAACUAAAUUAGCUUGGCCACUGGCAGAGAGCAACUUUGCCUUCAUGAGGAUCAUUAGGCCUAGUUUAGUAGAAGGUGGUGUCGAAUCAUUUCUGAGACAGAAAAAUAGACAUGAAACGGUAAAGCAGCAAAACCUGAAGAAAAAAAAAAUUCACACAAUUAGACUGAAGCGAAAAGUUUAAAAUAAAAGAGGAAAAACCAAGAAUAAGCGAAGAAUAACACAAUAAACAAAUGUUAUGAAUUGAAGUUGAUGUGCAUGAUGAGGACUUGAUGAACAGGUGUUAUGCACUAAACCAGUAGCUCUAUGAAAGCUUUGAAAGAGCACAUACAAAUAUAUGUAACUUUUGUGAUUAAAGUUAACCAACCAAGUGGUGGUUUCAAAAUGUGCAUUAAUACCUUGAAUUGAUUGUGAUAGGAAUAAAUUUUGGACUUAGUCACUAAAUACCAAAUAUCCAAAAUAGAAAAAAAAACAAAGAAGAAGCUAAUUUUAGUUGAGAUAAGAGGAAGCACUUUACUUGUUGGUAUCCAUAAUCAGAUGGGUAGAUCGUAUAUAUACCUGCAAAAGUAGACACAGUAAUAAGUGGACAAGCUAACAAUGGAGGCACUAUAAACGUAGUGGACUUUUGGGUCCACCAACUAUUUAAAGCCCAAUUAAUUGAAAAUAAUAUAGCAAUGGCUAAAUUAUAUUUUAAUCAUUGAAAAGAUGGGCAUUUUAAAAAAUUUAAAAUAUGAAUUAAGAGAGCACAACUGACCUGUUGCUCAUAUUUCAGCUAAGGACAAUAGCAUGCAUCAACUCCGAGCCUCGCGGGUGGCCUCUUAAAGCAAUGUCCAUCUGAACGAUACUUAAAUUGAUAAAUGCAAAUUACAACAUAAUGAAGAAAUAAACUAAACCUUUCAAGCGUCUUAAACUUUCAAUUCAUGUAUUUAUAUAGAAAAUCUCUAAAGGCAAUUAUUUUUAUCAAACAAACGAAAAGUAGACAGUAAAUAACUAUAUAGAGCAAAUGAAAGAGGCUCAGAUAUGCUUUUGCUUAAUCACAACAACAUUUAACCACAAAUCCUCUUCUCCCUCCUCCAAAACUUUUUUAAGAGUAAAUGGCUACAAUGAUUGCCUUAGGCCAUCCAAACUGUCUUGCCAUAAAACUCUUAUAUGGUGUGUAUGUAAGAAUUUCAAGAAAAUGAGAGGGAUUUGGAUUUAUGUAACCUUAAUAAAGAAGGUAGCCUCCAAAAUCAGCAUUGUUCAAAGAAGAACCAUUUAAUCAUCAUUGCCUCUAAUACCUUAACAAUCAAGACCAAAUACAUGGAACACCUAAUUGAUGCAGGAGCAUCAAUUGGCGUUGAUGCGUAAGUGUAGAAUUUGAUCGAAAAGGUGAUGAAUAGAUCUGAAUCACUCAGUCCAGAAAACCUAUAAUUUUGUUCAUCCUUAAAGUAUCAAAUAAUAAAGGUUGAUUAAUAUUGGAUAAAAAUUAAGAAAACACGUUCGAUUUUGUAAUUUUAUCAAAAAAUAAUAGAAUUUUCAUAUUGUGACUAUUCAUAGGAAAAAAGUUAAACUUAAAAUAAAAGUAAUGAAUCCAAAAUAUAAUUACUCAAUAAUCCACCAACUGUCUAUUUUACAUCAUACCCUAUUGCUAAGGUAAAAACAGAGAGAAAGUAAAUAGUAGGCAUGUAGGUAGGCCAAACUGUCGAUAAUCCAAUAUUCCAUGAUUUUUGCUUUCACAUGUGUUAAUCCAAUAUUCCAACUUAUAUAUCACAAUUAAAUAUUUUUUUACUGCAUAUCUAUUUAGCAAAUAAAUUCGUACAUUACAUUAGACAAACGAUGAUAUUUAAUAAAACAUUAAUUUAAUGCCUAUAUUUGUUAGUUUUGAAAAUUUAAUGCAAAUAAUUUGGUGCAUAAACCUUAAAGCAUGUUAGAUAAUUUAUCGAAAAGCACCAUAUUUGAAAUGUUGUUGCCUGAGAGGGUCAAAGGAGCAGGCGGAAAGUCUAGCCGAAAACGUCGCGGGCGAACACAUGGAACAAAAGAAAAAUAUCGUACCUGUAAAAUAUAGCAAAAAUAUUAAAGCACCAUUCUUCGACAAUUUAAACUUUCGGAAAUAAAUUUGACUAAUUCAGUGUAGAAUCCUGAGUCUAUUAAGGGCCCAUUUAGUAUAUAUUGAGGCUCAUCUAACUCUGCCUCAUUUUUUAAAAAAAACUUCGUAACCAAUAUCAACUAUUAAUAAACACUAAUCUAAUUAUCAAAAGUCCAUGAAUCAAAAAGAAACAAUCCAAAAACUGCAACUGUAACUCCAGAGACAACAAAUGUUCGCAUUGAAGCUUCCAAACCACCAGCAUGAUUUCCUUGAAGUAGAAAAGCCAUGAUGCUAAUUUCCAGAAACAAUAUUCCGGAUUUUGAAAACAAUGACAACAAAUUCCAAGAGAACUCCUUGCAGGUGUACAUUGCCACUCCUACCGUCACAUAUAAAAUAAAUAGAAGAGCUAUUGCAUUAAAAGCUAAUGCAUUAAAAGGGCUUGUAUAUUAGUAUUCAAAAAAUUAAGUUCAAGUUGCACAAAAGUGAAAAGAAGUAACAACAUAUCUGCGAAAAAGCUACCUAGAAUAUGAUCCAAUUCAACUAAUGAAAAUAUUUUCAUACAUGAGCAAUAGAGUUAGCGAUCAUAAUCAAUAAGGAAAUUCCAAUAGACAAUAUUCUAAUAAAAAACGAUCUUUGAAGGUGGAAAACCUAAUAAUUAAUUAAUUAACACGUAGCUCCCGAAACAGGCCUAUUCUUAAACAGAUUGAAUCGAGAAAACCCUGGAAUGUUCAACGUAGCAAGAAGAAGGGAAUUGUGUCAUACCUGGAGGACGUAUCAUAGGAGAUUGAGAACGCUAACAACCCAGAGUAGGACGUAGUAUGCGAUUAUGAUGUAGGAUCAGCCAUAGGUAAGCUUGGCGUUGCUGCGUGGCCCACGGCGUGCUUUAAAAAAGGAACAAUAUAAACCUAAGAUGAAAACAAAAAAACAAACAAAAAGGAAACAAUUGGGUUACUUGCGCCACCAAAACAUUACAACCGAAUAGCAAAAGAGGAACAUCAAAAGAGGGAGCUUUUUCCUUUUCUCACCUCGGAACCGCUCGGUCUCUUGAUUGUAAUCGAGAAGCUUUUGCUCGAUUCGCUUCCCGGAGGUGAAAUCGAAGCCCGCGGAGGUGAAAUUGAAGGCCGCGGAGGGCUCGCUACCAAAUCAGAGAUGGAAAAAAUCAGAAAGAGAGAAAUAGGGUUUUUUUUUUGCAAAUAAAAUUUUUACAGAGGCAUAUUAUAUAGGCAGCAAGAAGGGACCACGGAGGAUAAAUCCAAGCCAUUUUCGUGACCGAAGGGAAUGAAUAAGCCGAAACAAAGCGCCGCUAAUAGGAACGGUGCGACCGGAAAAAGGGACGACCAUGAACUUGGCCCAACAUACCAUCCAGAGAGGGAAUAGGAGUCGGAGCAGCAUCUAGAGGGCGAACGAAACGAAGCGUCGCCAAAGGGAACGGGUGCGACGACAAGAAGUCCGGCCAUGAAUUCAGCCCAACAGUCCGUCUAGAGAGGGAACAGGAGUCAGAGCGGCACCUAGAGGAGCGAGUGAAGGAGCCGGAGGUGGAAGACGAAAUUAAUUAGAAGUAGGAAAGAUUAAAUGAGAAAAUUUAGUUGGGUAGGCCCGACCCACUAAUUAAAUAACAGUGCCUUAAGAUGACAAGUAGGGCCCACAGAAGAUUAGAUUAAGCUAAUGUUGCCACGUGGACAAAAGGAAACGGGGAUUCAUAAGAGUUUAUAGAUGAUAACCGAUGUCAUCAUCACUGCAUGAAAGCUCACAAUGAGAGAAAUUAGAUGACUACACGUAUAUAGCUUUUAGUGUGGCAUAGCUACUAGAAAAUGAGUUUUUACAUUUUUUUUUUCUAAAACUCUGAAAGUAUUUCUCCUUUUCAUACUAUGCUACUAUUUUUUUUUCCUAUCUUUCUUUGUUAUCUUAAUAGUAUUAGUUUUUCAAUUUAGAUAUUAUCAAUAUACGAAAGAAAGAUAUGGACUCCACGAAUUCGGCUCUACUAACCAAAUGGUGGUGGCGUUUCUUUAGCGAGCCUAAUCUAUCUUGGUGCAGGCUAAUUAGAUCUAUCUAUUACACCCGAAGAAGACCUUUACAUGAGGGACCGGCCUUCGCCCCACAUUCGCAAUGGUGGAAAAGCAUACUCCGUUGCUGUGAGGUUUUCACCUGCGGUACAACAUAUGAGUUAGGUGACGGGCAGGACAUCAGAAUGUGGUCGGACAUCUGGAUUUGAGAACUUCCUCUUAGCACUCUCUUCCCGAAAAUUUAUGCGAACAUCACAAACAAGAACGCCAGAGUCUCUCAGUGCUGGAAUGCAAAUGGGUGGCGCUGGCGGUUCAUCUGUCGUGGUUUCGCUGCGUCCCGCUCCGCUGAGAGGCGAGGUCAACUAACAUUGCUCAAAGACCUGCUUCAAAAUCGUGCCCCUUGCAACAAACCGGACUCGUGCAAAUGAAGGUGGAUUUCGAACCAGCUCUUUACCGUUAAAUCCCUUUACCGAUUCGUCACAUACGCCAGAGUGAUUAAUCGGAGAAACACCAACAUCUGGAGCCUGAAAAUUCCUUCCAAAGUCAAAGUCUUUAUCUGGUUGCUGCUCCAAAAGAGACUGCCCACAGGCGAUAGAUUGAUAACUAGGGGCAUAGUUGCUGACCAACAGUGUGUUUUCUGCGCGAUGCUAGUGGAAAGCUGCGAUCAUCUUUUCUGCCACUGCGUCUUUGUUCGAUACCUACUCGUCAGUAGUGGAGAUGGGCACACACAUGACGAUACCUCCAGUGACGUCUGCAAGCUCUGGACAGCUACGUACCACUACCACUACAAUUUCUGCAGAUUCUACGCGAUCAAGAAGACUUAUCCAACUAGCAGCAAUCUGGUGGGUAGUUUGGAAAGACAGAAACAACUCUGUAUUCUGGGGAAUACCAGUCAACGCUAGCCGGGCACUUGAAUGGGUCAACCUUCUGACGAGCGACUGGAAUGUGCUGUGUUAACAAAUUGCUAGCUCUCUACCCAUCCUUCCCCCUUUCCCACACCACUCUUGCUUUUGUAAUCUUAUUACACUAUCUCUUUCCCUCUCUUUUAUUGUAGGCCUUAACUGCUUCCAUCAUGUACGCUUAGUUUAUUUCACUUAAUAAAUAAAACAGAUAACUUGCUAUUUUUUUCUUAAAAAAAAAAAUUAAACAAAGGUAACUAAGCAACACAUAACACAUCAAUACACUUGUAGAUCGAUCAAAGCCUCAUAGACAAAGGUGUUGAAUGAGGACCCAAGAAAAAAAACUUCUAGGCACAGUAGGGGACUAAAAUGUAGGAAAUGAGUGAAUGCAGCUGGGUACAGAGGCGGCCAGUCAGCUUCAGGAGAGGCAAGAGUCAAUAAAGUUUACGUGACAAUUUGGUACGCACCAAAAGUAAUCGAUUAAAAAUUUUCUCGCACGCCUCGCGGGCCCCACGGACAGCCGAAAAGCCCGAGGCGACGAUCGAGGCGGAUGGCUUCUCGUACCGAGGGGACUGCGAACGGAGGCGUGCGACGGCCAACUUUAGUGCGAUAGCGCGCCCAAGUUGCCGCUCUCUCCUUUAAAAAUUAUUACCUGCGCCUGUAGUAUCCGUAUAAUUUAUACACCGUGUGCACCUAAAAUUUUGAUCAUCCUAAUCUGAAGAUUAAACUUUACUGUGUUAAUAAAUGUGACAUACACAAUGUAAAAGUAUGAUUCGAAACAAAUGUUACAAAUCUAUUUAUUAUUAUGACAUCACACAAUCUCAAUAAUUACAGUGAGAAGGAGAUUGAGAAAGAGAACCUAUUUUUUAAAAAUGAAUGUCUAUAAUUUAUUGUUAUUUUUAAUAUAUAUAGGUCUUUUAAAUGUCCUAGAAUGUAUUAAAUUGGCCUCUCAAAGAUUUUAUCCAGUGUAGACAGUAGUAAUUUAUCUUUUCCCAACGGUGUUGCUUUUAUUUAUUUAUCCUCUUCAGAAAAUUAUUGCCUGCACUCAGCGUGUGUGUCUCAACCUAUUUUAUAAUAAUGUUCAAUGUGCAGAAAUCAAAACUUUAUCCAAUAUAAUAUAAAAAUAUCUAAAGUAUCUAUGAAUAAAAAGAAUUAAAAGAUUGAAAAUAUUUUACUAUUCAAUAAUUAAUUAAUAAUAGAGAAACAAAUAUUAUAUUGAUUCGUAAAUUUUUAAAAACUUUGAUAAUUUUUUAGAUGUUUUAUAUUAUUUUUGAUAUAGUUCAUUAAUUUUUUAAUUUAGUUUUGAUUUAUAUUAUUAUAUUGUUAUUUCAGAUUUGAAUUUUUACCCUUUAUAAAGGCUAUCCUUAUCUUACAGUUACUUAUUGUGAGGGGGCAAAUAUAUAGGUUAUUUUGUAUUUUAUCUUAUGUGAGAUUGACAAAAUGAGUAUUUACAAAAUAAUUUUUUAAGUUUUCAGAAACAUGUCUUAAAUUAACACUUCUUUUUUAUAUAUAAACCAUUUGAAUAUAUAUUAUAAAAUAUAUUAGAUAAAUUAGAUUUUAUAUUUGAAGUAUUUAUUGUAACGUUUUUAGAGUGUGAUGUAUUUGAGCUACUUUAGCACAUGGUGUAGGUAACAAUGUGACAAACUCUUCUUUUGUUAGGUCAGCCUGGGGAGUCACGAUGCAUGCCAUCUUAUCACACUGGUCGCUUUACCCUUGUCUGUUCCCCUCACGAUAUCCUACAGUCUCUGAGAUUCUGUUGCUUUUUUCACUCAUAUAAUCAAACAGCAGUAAAACCUAUUUAAAUCAAUAUAUAUAUAUAUAUAUAUAUAUAUAUAUAUAUAUAUAUAUAUAUAUAUAUAUAUAUAUAUAUAUUCUCUCUCUCUCUCUCUCUCUCUCUAAAUUAGACAGCCACUUCGUAAGUAAUUUCAUUGUCCUUUCACAAGAAGCUUCUUUCAGCGAGUAAAUUAGUCCUCUUUAACACUUUACCGAGACAAUUGCCCAACGAAGAUAUAUGGAAAGCACUCCUCUAUAUGACUCCCAAGCGGAGCCCACUUACCAUUGCUUGCUCAAGGUCGGUGCAUGUUCUUCGUUGGCCCUUCAUGUUUCCGGGGAAAAAAGGAAAAAAAAAAAAGAAAAAGAAAAAAGGAAAAACAAAGAGGCCAAAUUAAUGAUACCGGUUUUUAAUGCGAGCGAGGGAUAAUGAUAAUUCAGCACAGGCAGGUGUUGGGUUACAGAAUGGAAUUUCUCUCUCCCUCCCAAUCAGGUAUGUUUCGUUUAAUUCAUUUUUUAAGCUGUCGAUCAUAGAUGCUUUAGUUAGGACUUGAUAUCUACGCCUUAUCAUUAGUACUGUGAUCAUCAGCAGAAGCUUCAUUCUGAUUUGUGACUAAUGCCAUCAAUUAACUAGCUAGUUGUUCUUCUCUUUAAUUUUCUUCUUUCUUAAUUUUAAGGUACUCUCCUAUGUUUGGCUUGUCUGCUUCUAAAUCUAACUGCCAAAGUAAUAUUACCCUUUUCUAUAGACAGUGCAUGCAUUUCUCCAUGUGGUUUAUAUUGUAGAUGUUAAGCAAUAAAACAUGAUUGAGAUAUCUCCAUCUUCUCAACAACCAGACAGAAUUUAUUAAGACAGAUGACAUAGAGGUUUCGAAUGCUGUAAGGUGAACCAAUUGCACACAGGCAUUUGAUUUGAUACUUGUUUAAAAGAGGUAGUAGGAUGGUUAUACAUAUUAUGGCGGUAAUCAACAUAGCAACAAAAUGAAAAUAAAGAUAGAGAAGAAAUAUCUUUAUUAAGAUGGCGAAUAAUUAAUGAGUUCUUGGCACAGUUGCACUACGUAGAAGCUGUAGCCUUUUAUAGUGCUCAACUUGUACAUAUUGGAUAACUAAAAAAUACCAAACUCCAAACUUAUUAACAAUCUAGAAGUCAGUCCUUUAUAACUAUAAAACAAAAAACAAACCUAGCUAACGAUUCGAUCUUAUCACUAACAAUGAUUUGAUCUUAUCUUUAACAUGCCCCCGUAAGGUCAAAUUCAGUGAUGCCAAGUCCUUCACAACAUCAAACAAAUUUUUCUAACGACAAUGGCUUGGUGAAAAUACCUGCAAGCUGGUUUUAAGUAGAAAUGUGAACCAACUCAACAUUGUCGUCUGCCACUUUAUCUCGAAUGAAGUAGUGACGGAUCUCAAUGUGCUUGUGCGACUGUGGUGUACCGGAUUCUUUGGUAUAGCAAUCGUCCACCAGUCGCAAUAGAUAAUCGUCGGGUUCAUUUGCUUCUGAUGCAAUUCGUAUACAAUCCAACGUAACCAAACUACUUGGCACGCUGCAUCGGUGACUACAACACACCCAGCCUUGGAAGAUGAUACCGUCAUCAUGUAUGUUGUUUCUUUGAGAACCAACACACCGUACUCGAACUGAACUUGAACACGAGUCCGCUUAUGCUUCUCUGAUAGUCAAUAGAACCUACCCAAUAUAUCACUAUCAGAAAAAUCAAAUAAAGAAAAAAAAUGUUAGUGUAAGUGAACCAUAAUCGAUGGCCACUAGUCGUUUUCAAAUAUCUCAAUAUCUGCUUUGCAGCCCAUGUGAAUCUUGCUAGAAUAUUCCAUAAAUUGUGGAAGGAGGCUUUUUGUAAAUAUAAUGUCUGGCCUGGUGUGAAUCAUAUAUAAUAAGCUCCCAAGGAAACUCCCAUAUACAUUACUGUUGACUUUUUCUACACCGUCUUCAAUUGAAAACUUCAUAUUGGUUCACAUAGGAUUUGCCAUCGGAUUAGAAUCCUUCAGUCCAAAUUUGUCAAGCAAAUUAGUUAUGUAUUUCUUUUGCAACACAAAAAUUCCUUUUUUACUUAUACUACUUCGAGCCCCAAAAAAUAAUUCAUUAAACCCAAAUCAGUCAUUUCAAACUCGUGUCAUAUGACUUUUAAACUCAUCAAUUAGCUUUUAAGAGUUACCGACGUAUAUUAAAUCAUCUACACAAAGAACACAGUCAAAAUUUUUAUAUCUUUGGUCUUCAAGUAAAGCGUGGGCUCACUUUCACUUCGGUGAAAACCGCUUUGCAAAAUAUGAGCAUCGAUUUGGUUGUACCAAGCCCAUGGUGCUUACUUGAGGCCAUACAGUGCCUUCAAGUCUGUAUACAUUAUCGUUCUUUCCUUCAACCUUAUACCCCCGAGGCUACUUAACAUAAACUUUAUCAUGCAAAACAUUGUUUGAAAACAAGAUUUAAAAUCAAAAUGAAAAGCCUUCCAACUGAACUGUGCUGGUAGAACUAAAACAAUUCCAAUAGUAUCAAAACAUGCAACUAUAGCAAAAGUUUCAGAAAAAUCAACACCUUUGAGUUGCAGAUAGCCUUUUCCUACGAUCCAUGCCUUUAACUUCUUAACAGAUCCAUCAAGUUUGAAUUUGUUCUUGUAGAUCCACUUUAGAUUAAUUGCUUCAUUAUUUCGGGGUAGUUCUACAAGUUUCCAAGUCUGCUUAUGCUUUAGUGCAAACAUCUCAUCUAUUGCUUUACACCAAUCUGACGAUUUAGCCGCAUCUUCGAAUCCUUCAGGCUUAAGUGUCAAGCCAAAUUGACAUCUUUCCAUAUUUUCAUAUAUCUCUUAUAGCGACAUCACCUUAGAUAGUGCUGAAGAACUUAUCGAAGAAUAGGGUGUGCUUUGCUGUUAACCUGAGUUUCUUCUUCAAUCAAUCUUAUAGGGCAAUCAUGCAAAACUUCAUUCCUGUCCUAACCUUUUUAUUCAUCAAAAAUCACAUCUCAACUGAUAAUCAACGAAUUCGUAGCAGGAUUAAAUAAUCUAUAUGCUUUACUUGUCACUGUACCUCACAAAAGUACACGUUUGGGGAUUAUCAUCUAAUUUUUGUCGCUUCUUAGAUCGAACAAGAAUCAAAACCCGCAUACCCACAAAUUCUAAAAUAAUUUACCUUCGGCUUUCUUUCGGGUCCAAGCUUCAUAUGGAGUAGCUCUCCAAAAAUGAUUAGGACUCCAAUUUAAAAUGUGCGUUGUUGUGGAGAUUGCCUUUGCCCAAAACAUAUUUGGCAGUCCUUUAGCCUUCAACAUGCUCUUCAGCAUCUGGACUAGACUUCUAUUUUCCUUUCCGCAACCCUAUUUUGUUGUGGGGUGUAACUUGUUGUCAGUUGCCUAAAAGUUCCAUUUGCUUCACAAAAAAGCUUCAAAUUCGUUAGAAAUAAAUUCACCUCCUCUGUCUGUACGAAGAGUUUUAAUUUGAAAGCCUAAUUAAUUCCUUCUCAAUCAUAUUUUUGAUUUUUUUAAAGAUAAGAAAGCAUCACACUUAUGUCUUACAAAAUCCACCAAUGUCCUACAGCUAAAAUCGUCAACAAACACAAGAUAAUAAAAAUUAUUAUUCAAAGACGGUGUGUGCAUUGGCCAGACAAACGUUCGCAUUUACGAGCACCAGAGGCUUCUUUGCUCUCCACAUGCUUUUCUUCGGAAAUAGAGAUUGAUGAUGCUUCCCUUAUUUGCAACUUUCAGAAAUCAAGUUACUUUGUGCAAUUUGCGGUAAUCCAUCAACCAUCUCUUUUUUGUACAAGAUCUCUAAUUUGUCAAAACUGGAAUGCUCAAACCUUUCAUGCUACAACCAAUUUUUAUUAAUAGAUACUCCCAUAGCUAGAUUUUGAAAAUCAUUAAAAUAAUUUUUUUUCAUCAUGGCAACUUUAACAAGCAAUUCUUUUCUUUCUAUUCUUGAAAAUGAGGCAUUUACAAUUCUCAAACACCAAAGAAUAUACAAAUGUAAGAAAUUGACCACCACUAAAUAAACUUGUAAUUAAGCUAGAAACAGAAAGAACAUCCGAUAAUUUUGUAAUACCAACAAAGUUUACCUUUUACAACUUCUUUACCUCAUUCUUCAUGAUUAAGAUCGUCUUCCAUUUUUACCGGCUUUCAAACUGAUCUGUCCAACUCGAUAAAUAUAUCUUCUCUUCCUAUCAUGUGAGCACUACAACCACUAUCCAAAUACCAAAUAUUUUUUCAGUCUGUAUUUUCGAUAUAGCAAGCAAAAAGAACAUCAGAUUCAAAAUAGUUAGCAUCAAUUUGAGCAUUGUUUUCCUUUUCUCAUCGACAAAAUCUUUCUAUAUAGGCAUAUUUUCUUACAAUAAAAAUAUUGGAUAUUCUUAAAGGUGUUAUCUCGUUCAGAGAUGUAAGGUUUGUUGCUAUUUCGCUGAUCAGACCCUUCAGAUCUACCUCCACCUCCGUUUUCUUGACCACGAUCGCGACCUUUUCGACGACCAUGGUUUGAUGAAACUUGCCGACUAUAAUAUGCACCUCCUUUGUCCCUACCUUUUGACACAUUCAAAAAAGCAUUCUCUAUUGAAUUUUCAUGAGGUUUGUCGAUAUGAUCCUCAUGUGAUAAAAGAGAGCGCAAAAGGCCAGUAUAAGAAUAUUUAGUUGUGAGACCCCAGGUAGUCCUAUAUAUAAGAUAUAAUAGGGCUCAAACUCUUAACCCGGCUUAAGCAUUUUGGAUGGUGGCUAGGCUUAAGAGGUUAAGAAAAUUAAGCGUGCUAAGACGGGAGUAGUCCUAGGAUGUUGACCCCCUGGGAAGGCGGGGUGUCACAGUUGAUACAAGAGUCAAUUACCAGCCGAAAGUGUGAAAUAAGUCUCAGCUAAGCCAGGAUUAUACAGUGGGGAAAGCGAGGCUCUCAUACUGUUGACUGUUGUGGGUGGAGCGUAGCUCACCAUAAGGUCGGUUUAGGCUAGCGAGAUGAGUCUCACAUUGUUACGCUCUGCGACCGCCAAUUUGGUCGGUUCGGGUACAUUGAUCAGACGCCAAAUGGAUGAGCCUCCCCUGUCCGCCAAAGGCUAACAACAACGAGAUCAUGUAUAUAAACAGUUGCCCAGAAAACAUUAACCUCAUACAUGAUCUAAGUACUAAUACAAGCAAUCAACAAAAGAGAGAAAGAUCUAGCUAUUACAAGUUCAUUCAACAUAUACAUCGAGUUUACAUUUUUCAUCUCCAAAAUGUAUACAUGUUCAUCCACAACUCUCUAAAAUACAUAUACAUCAUGUCCUCUCAUCUAUACAGAGUGUACUAAUGUAUAAAGGAAAGCUGCUAGCUAACUAGGGCGCUAUGCCCUUCCCGUGGCCUCGCCCGGUUAGCUCGAACUCGGCCCUGCAACAAAGUGGGAUGAGAACUAUAUAAAUAUAGUUCCCAGUGGGUUCGGCCGCCGACUUCGCCGAUCUUCCCACUAGGUCUAAGCAGGCAUAAGUAGAUAGAUAGAUAGAUAUGAAAAUAAGCUGCUACAUAGUAACGAAAUCUACAACAUGUUACUAUGCCUCAAUAAAUAGAAUGAAUGCAUGACCAUAGUAAUGUACUCUACUAAUAUGAUACUAUGUCUCAAUCUGCAAGGUAUAAAGAAAAUGUCUACAUAGUAAUGAAACCUACUAUCAAAUACUAUGUCUGAUAUCCAAUCUCAUCUCGGCUAAUCCGGAGGUUACGCCCAAACUCACAUCUCAAAUCUUGCCGAUGGGUAGACUCUGCGCUACACACACCCGAGAUCGUCUGCUGGGUAAUCAAGUUACCCAAACGCGACGAUGACUCCGGAGCUUACUACUUGGGGUGGAGCGACCACGCCAAGAUUAUACAGACUAUGUGAGUACGAUCCAAUCCUCUCACUCGAGGAUAGUUAGUGCCUCUACUGCACUAGUUCACAUGCUACUACUCAGGCGCCUGAAGGUUUUAGGCGGGAACGGUUGAGAAGUGGGCAUAACUUCCACGAUGGAGCGUAACUUCCAUGAGGAGUGGCGUUGAAGGUUUUAGGCGGGAACGGUUGAGAAGUGGGCAUAACUUCCACGAUGGAGCGUAACUUCCAUGAGGAGUGGGCGUAACUUCCACGAUCAUGGUUACAACCACUCCCCCCACUACUUUCAACCGACCAAUAAUGUGGGUUGAGAAGACAUCACUAUAAAUAGUAACUUCAAAGCCUGUAAUAAAGGUCUUUCUCCAUCCUGAACGAGAAGACCACCUUUAUUUCCUCUGCAUUUUAUCGCUUUUCUAGGAGUAGUUUAAAUGUAAUCUUUUUUUUUUCGCAUUUACUGCUUUCCUAGGAGUAGUUCGCUAAGUAAAACUCUGGAGUCUGUCUGCCCCACAGGCAUCACUCCGUUUUAGACUACAUUUGCAGAGUCUGUCUACCCCACAGGCAUCACUCUGUUGUAAACUAUAUUUCUGAGUCUGUAUGCCCUUCGGGCACACUCUUUUUUAUUAUUAUUAUUAUAUAAAGGCGUUCAACUCUUUCAGCCGACCAGUCGUUGUGUACUUCUUCCAUUCGGCUCUUUCAGCCGACCAGUCAUUGUGUAUUUCAUUUAUUCGGCUCUUUCAGCCAACCAGUUACUAUGUACUUUUUUCAUUCGGCUCUUCUGCCGACAUUGAUCUCUGCACAGUUCAUACAUUCGACUCCUCCAGCCGAACCGAUUUUAUAGUAGUGGUUUUCGAACCCGGCUGGCUCGAUCCCUCGUCAGCCGAAUCGCUUGAUCUGUCGAAGGGCGCAAACUUCGAGGGCCACUAUCCGUAGCCGUUCCUCACCGCGACGCACUCCCCGAGGAGGAUCUUUGACCGGGUCAAGGGUCGGAAAAUUCAGCUACCAACAAUCACGAUCAUAAUUCAAACUGUAUAUAUUCUUAUUUGACCAUAAAAUAUAAGAUAAAUAAAUUUAUGAUAAAUUAAUAUUGUAUGCAAGAUUUUAAAUCCUUAUGUGAAUAUGUGAAUAAAUUCUAUUAUGUUCACGAUACUUUAGUAAAUAUAAAUAUUCCAACGGAUCGAAUUUAGAUGAAUAAAGGAGCUUAAGUGUGUAAUGUGCUUAAAACCGGAUGCCUACUAAGCAAAAAUUUGCGAAAGAAACCAAAUAAUAAAUUAAUAAUGGGUUCAGUCUUGAUAGGUUCAACUCUUGUCCGUAUCUGUAAACUACUAUUAAUUUUUGUGGGAUUCAAUCUCUCUCCUUAUUUUAAGGAGAAAAGGUGAUCCACUUUUUCUCUAAAAUAUACAGAAUAAUAUCUUAAUUAAGCAAUCCAUCACGUAGAAUAAACCAAUCAAUAUCAUGGCUAGAUGCAACUCACGAGUCCGUACUAUUACAUUAAUGGAUUGGCCAGUCAACUUAAUCCAAUUAAACAGUUCGACGGAUUCAAAGCUAACCAAAAUAUGGAUGCGGCCAAUUCAAAAUAAAUUGAUCCUAUUCAUCAUCUCCUUCCAUUAUUAUGGUUUCAUUCAAAAACCUGAAACCCAAAACAGGGUUAAUCCCUGCCAUAUCAAACAUGGACGACGUUGUCGCGUGCUGCAAAAGCCACAGAUUUACAAAAAGAAGUGGAUGUACGAAAAAUAAAAACGACCACCAAUUUGCAGAAGAUGAUGAAUAGUUUAUAAAUUGUCCUAGGCCAAAUCAAAACUAGCGAUGAUCUAAAUCCGCAUGGUACUUUUCUUACUUCAUUCCAAAAUUCAUCAUAAUUGAAUCCGAUUAAAUAAUGCAUACAAUAUAUAAUUUUUCGUUCAUGUUCUGAUACCAAUUGUAGAUUUAUAUCGGUACAUAAAACAACAAUAGAAUUAAAUAUCAAAAUUAUAAAAAAAAUAAAAUAACUCACAGAGUGCGGAGAAAAAAAAUUCUUGAUUAAUCCGUGGAAGCAAAAAGUAUGGUUGUGAUAUGAAUAUCAUCAACCGAACUUGGGUAAUUUGGUUUCUACUUCUGUCUCAGGCACUCUCUCAUAUGGUGUGGAACAUAUAGUAAUUUUUUACCAGAAUGUAUAUAAGAAGGUGGCAAGACCAAUAUCCUUUUAUAUAGAGUUCAGAUCGACUUGUCAUUAAACUCUGAUUAGAAUUCUAUUAAAUUUAAAUAGAUGAGAAAUAGAUAAAAUAUACCAUAGUAAGUAAUUUUAUAUCUAUUAGAAUUGACCUUUAUUUAUUGUAAAUUCAAAUUUAAAUAUUGGUUAGUUGGGCCACAUUUAUGAAAAUCCUAACUGCAUGAACUCUAUUAGAGACGACUAUGCGGCUCAAAAUGUCAUUUUUUUCUUCCUAUCGCAACAAAAGUUUUCUUUCUUCUUUUAUUUUUUAUUUUUUAUUUUUUAUUUUUAUUUUUAUUUUUUUUACCAGGAACACUAUUAGAGGCUACAGCUACGUACUUACGUCACAUCUAUAAAAUAAUGAGACUUCAAUAUAUCAUAUUUUCUACAAUUAGUAUAUGACCAACAUAAAACUAAUGGGAGUACAUAAGAUACGUCCAAUUUAGCAUUAGAUUUCUGGAAAAGCGCAACUCUUGAGCAGAAAAUUCUGAGUGUUGAAAAAUUUUUCUGAUCUUUAAUUAUUACAAUAUUUUUUAAAAAUAAUUUGAAAGCUUAAUUUUAGGUUUAGAAAAAUUUCGAGAAAGAAAAUAAAUAACAAAUACGGUAAAGAAAAGGUUUAGAAAAGACCUGUGGAUCGAUAUGUGUAGAGCACUGUCCUAAAAGUGAAAUUAUCCCUCUACGUGCAAGGUUUUUUCGUAAUUACUUGCAGCGAUACAAUGACCAUGUUCCACCCCGUCGGCACGAUUUCAAGGUAGAGCAAAACGAACCCAACAAGCUUCAGAUCCAGCAAAGCAAACUCGGCGAAAAUCAGCGCAUACAAUCAAUGGCGAGAAAGCAAGAAAAAGGCGAGGUAGGGUUUAGGUAUACUCGGGUUCUUCAUGAACUCAUGCAAACCUCCUCCUAUCUACAUAACCAAGGCGAGAAUCUUGCUUUCACCGCAUCAAAUCCGUGUAAAAUAAGAUAAGCCUAAGAUUAUACGGAUAAGGAUUAGGAUUAGGAUAAAGAUAAAACCGAAAAAAUAAAAUUAAAAAUAAAAUAAACCAGGUGUAUGGACCGCGAGCGUCGCUGCCCUGUCAAGGCCCUUUUUGGUUGUUAACGGUCCUGACUUUGUCAAUAAUACUGAGUUUGUAAAGAGUCUGUAAAUGUUGCGUCGGGCACGACGCCGACAUAGGAUUUUCCUUGUUUGGGAUUGGCAUUGCUUAUAAAUUGGCAUCCGGUUGGCUACCCACGGGUUCACUCGUACUACACGUCUAAGGGGGCAUAGGUAUUUCGCUAACGAUGGUUGCUUAUGCGACGGAUUGAGCCAGACGCGUGUCGGACAUGGAUCGGCGGCCUAUUUUCCCAUAGGUGUGCGCAGUGGGGAAAACGUAUCCCUCGGUGAGCACCUUUGUACCCCGGGGUGCCAAAUAGGUGGAUGCCAAUAUAGAAUAGUAUGGGAAGGUUGGGUGAGACGUAUUAAGUGAGUCGGCUUCGCUAAAUGUGGAGUGUCUUAGUAAUCAUUUUGCCCUCAUCGGCCAUGCCCGACCGAGUCGUGUGCCUUUCGCUUAUAGUUCAACUUUUCGUUAUUAAUAAAAUACUCGUUGUUUGUGCCAAUUUGCAGGACCCCUUUACAUGCUUUCUCUCAAUUCUCGGUCGUUGCCAAUUUGCGAAGUUGUCUCGAGACGGUUUGGCUGGCUCGUUUGUGCAGGCCACGAACGAGCGCCGCACGGGUUUUCCGACAAAAAGUCAUUAGACCCGUGACAGCCCGCCUUGCUCGUGCCAUGCGUGCAUUUAAACGAAAACAUAACUCUCAUUUUCUCCCAAACAACUAGCUUGAAAAUAAAAAAAUAUAUAAUACCAUUAACACCCUUUUAGUUUUCAAUGUGGGAUUAAACCUCACACAUGAAAACUUACGUUGGGCUCCCAAGCAAGGCCCAUUAAUAAUUAUUGGGCUGCCCAAGAGGCCCUAACAAGUUUUAAAUCACCAAAAUCCAAUAAAAUCUAAUAUUGAGUUUGAUAACUUUUACAAUCAGAAAAAUAUUUAAACGGUCAUAACUUUUCGCUCGAGUAUUCGAUUUUAACGUGCAACUCUAAUUUGGAAAAUAUUUUUCGAAAUCUACGUGUCAAAUGUGAAGCUAUUCAGGCUGAGUUUGAGACCAAAAUUUAAUUGUUUCAGCCUCCAUUUUUACAUUUUUAGGUUUUCUCCAAAAAAUUAUGUAUUUUUUAUAUUUUGAAUUUGAUUAUUUGAUUACUUCUAAUCUGAUUAGACUAAGAGAUAUAUUAGAAUCUUCGUCUAAUAGAAUUCAGGUAUCAACUCUAAAUAUAGACGUGGCGUUCCAGUAAUGUAAUGAGAUUUAAGAGUUGAUUAAUAAUAUUUUCGUUUUGUCGAAGAAUUAGUUCUUCGUUUAUCAUCUUUUUUCGUCCUUGUACUUAUUCCCUCUCAAGGCUUAAGUCAACUUUUACCUUCGAAACCCGAAUGAUGUUUUAGAAUAUUGUGAGAUAAAAAUAUGACUUGUUCAAAACCAUAAGUGCUUUCUACAAUUGGCAUACUUUAGGUACUUUCUCUUUCUUAACAAAGCUGUCAACUAGGAAAGUUGUUUUCAUAUCCGUUUAAAGAAUUUUGGAAUCAAAAUAAGCCAUCAAAAUCCCAAAAAACAUAUAAAUAUUUAAUUUUGGAUUAUAGUUGGAAAGUUUUUAAAUAAUCAAUACAUUUCUUUAGGUGCACUCUUUACGUACAAGUUUGGCAUUUUAUGUUUCAAUAACUCGGGCAUAUUUGGUGUACUUUAAACAAAUUGGCUUGCAUUUCCAUACCUCAGAUUUAACUUGUACAGAGUUUGUUUUCUUUUAUAUUCCUUCAAUUGAAGUUUAAAUGGUGGUAUUACGUUUAAGAUUCAUCUUCAAGGUCUUCCAUCUUACUAUAUAUGUACUUUUUCUUUGAAAGUGUAACAUCGCGUGAUCUUCUGGUAAUGUCCUUUCUCAUUUAGAACUGUUGAUAAUUCGCAACCUACCCUAAUACCUUUUGCUGUAAACCCCAAACUCACUCUGAUAUCAGUUAUUGGCAUUCCAUUGUGGAAGCGUUCAAUCAGAUUUUUACUAUAAACCUAUCUAUUCAGCAAAAGCUAACAAAUCACAAAAGGGAGAAAAUCAAAUAGAAAAUAUAGAUAAAACAAGAUUCACUAACCAAAAGUAGACUACAUUCGACUCCUUUUCUAUACAUUGUAGUUUCAACCCAAAGCCUCUUUGUGAAUCUCUCUCCGCUCUCUCGUGGUCUAUAAGUCCAAAAAAUUAUCUGCAUUCUCUCUCGCCUCUCUCCUCGUCUGUAAGUCCAAAAAAUUAUCUGCAUUCUCUCUCACAUGCAAACUAGCUAGGUGCAUGCAAACUAUGCUAGUGCAUGCAAACUAUGCCAAGACUCCCCCUAACCUUGGGUGUACAGACCACUCACCUCUGCCUUACUCCUUGCACGAGAGCAUCCCACCACUACAAGAAAAUUAAUAUUGAAGGAUGCUUUUUUUUAUUUAUAUUUAACGAUACUUAAAAGCGUUCUAAUAUAGUCUAACGUCAUAUUUGAAAGCGUUGAUUAAAGCAUUGGUAAAUGAAGAGUCGACACACACACACACAUAUUUUAUAUAUAUAUAUAUAUAUAUAUAUAUAUAUAUAUAUAUAUAUAUAUAUAUAGAGAGAGAGAGAGAGAGAGAGAGAGAGAGAGAGAGUUGGGCUAGAAUACUAUUAAUAGCAAAAUGUCUUUUUUGCUAUCAAGUUUUUAGCCUUUGGAUCAAUUUCUUUUAUUAUUUCUAACUAUUGGAUUAAAUAUAAUAACCCAGUGGGGACCACUCAACCCUAGGGGACCACUAGGGUUGGCAAAUGAGCGAGCCGGCUUGUGUUCCUCUCACGUUCAGCUCGAUAUUCGGCUCGCUCGAGCUCGACUCGAAUUAAUUUCAAGUCGAGCUUGAGCCUAAAUCUAGGCUCGAAGUUAAUUUCAAGCCAAGCUUGAGUAUUAUCGGGCUCGCUCGAAUUAGGCUCGAAAAGCUCGAAAUAUAUAUAUAUAUAUAUAUAUAUAGAAAAAGUCUACUAUAUUAUUAAUAAUACCAACCACUUGCUAUUAGGUCUUCUGCCCUUGGAUGAAAGAAUGUGUGGUUAGGAUAAUAGUAAUUAGAAUGUUUUUCUUUUAUCAUCACAUAAUAAUUAUCUAAGGGCCAGAAACCUAAUAGCAAGUAGUUGAUACUAUUAAUAAUAUUGUAAUUAAUUAUAUACUAUAUAGUAUAUAUAUAUAUAUAUAAUAUUAUACUAUAUAUAUAUAUAUAUAUAAUAUAUAUAUAUAAUAUAGCUAGGGCUACUAUAUAUAUUCUUAUGAAUAUAGGACCUCUUUAUACUUAUAAAUUUUGGCCGUUGGAUUUGCAUUAGGAUAAUAGUGGUCCCUAGGAGUUGAGUGGGUGGUUGGUUGAAUAGUAUAAUUUACGGAUGGAAAUGGUCAAAAGUAUAGAUCUAACGAUAAAAAACUUAUAGUAUAAAGGGUCUAUAGUAAUAGAGUAAUAGUAGCCGAACUCUCUCUAUAUAUAAUUAUAUAUAAUAUAUUUUUUAAUUAUAUAAAUUUAAUAUUAUGUAUUUUAAUUAUAUGUAUAUAGAAUUUAGAUUAUUGGACCCAUAAAACCAAACCAGUAAAUUCUACUUUAAUUGUCUCUCUUUCUCUUUUUCACGUCGCUCAUAGAGUUUUUUUCCUAUUUUUUAUAAUAUUAUAAUAUCGUAUUUCAUAGCAUUCAUUUUGUAUAGUUGAGCUAUUAGAUCGUUUUUGUAUCAAAUUUUAAGAUAAUAUUUUAUAAAUUAAACUAUAGAUUGCACGAUUUAGAAUUUCAAGCAGCUCGUUUAGGCUCGAUCUCGCUCGACUCAAAAUUAGGCUUGCUCGACUCGUCUCGAAUUAAUUUCAAGCCGAGCUGAGCCUAAAUUUAGGUCCGAAUAAUUUCAAACUAAGCUUGAGGCUGAGGUAGACUCGCUCGAGCUCGCUCAUUUCACCCGCUAGGGACCACUCAACCCUAACUUACUAAUAUCAUUCUAACCCUAUAAUUUCUCAUAAAGGUUAAAAACUUAAUAGCAAAAAGAGCAUUUUGCUAUAAUAGUAUUCCAACCUGUAGUGUCCUAUGUUUAGCGGCCUGUUUGUUUUUAGCAUCGAGGCUUGUCGACACGUCUGGAGAGUGUCGGAAUAAGUCGGAAUCAUUUUAGCGGCGGAAUGUACGCAAAACGGACUCAACUGACGUGAGAGAGGCAUCUGACAUUAAAAUCUGCAAAAUCAGGAUUUCAGUGUUGAGUAUCGAUCCCAAGAGGAGUACCGUACCUCUAGUGAUGGCAGAGAUGGAAGCUCUCGGUUUCCGCGUAGUUGAUGCUGAGUAACUCGGUAAUUGGUUGUCGAGUACUGGUACGCGACGAGCCCUAGUAUCGGUACUGCAUCGGCGAGUACGGUACCGUAGUGUGCGCGAGCUACGGGCUGAGGGCCGGGUACCGGUAUCAAGCUGAGUACGGUACUCCAGCUGUAUUUUUGAGUAGGUAAGGGCAUGCAGUUUAGUCUUUUGAUUUGGUCGUUCAUUCCUAAUUACCCAACUCUUAUAUGGGGUUUAGGAGGCAUAGAAGAGGAGAUGCCUUCUCCCUCCCCCCCCCCCCCCCCUCUCUCUCUCUCUCUCUCUCUUUUUCUCUCUCUCUCUCUAGCUGGUGGAGUUUAGUCUUUUGAUUCGUUUUAAGCCAAUUAUUGUAGGGUUCCAUAUCUCGUCGACCUUAGGCAUUAUUGCCCUCUGGGGGUUGGUCCAUCUAAUUACUUAAAUUUUUUAGGACCUCUUACUCUGCGAGAACAUAUUGAAUUUUACAGUACCAAAUAUCAUAAUUGUUAUCAUCUAAUUUCUCGCCUUUAAUUAGAUCAGCAACAACUUGUUUGGAGGCCAUUUUAUCUUACUAAGUAAGCACAGUGCAAAAAAAGAGAUACUUAAAAUUAGCACACAAUACUUAUAUUAAAUUUUAUCGCAUCUAUAAUUAAAUAAACUAAAAUUUGGAUCAUAGGUGCGCAAAGAAAAAUUUCGCUGUACUCAUAAUCACAUCAUGCACUCUAUGCCAAAUUUUUAAUUAUUUAAUUAAGUUACACAAAAUAUUUGGAAGUAAAACAUACGAUUUACUCUAACAAAAAAAAAACUCCCACUUGAAGUAGCAUGCAUAAAAAUACACCAUACCAUAAGCAUCAUCCAUAUAUCAUAAAGGCAUAAAAAUAUUAUAAUACUUAAAUGUAUGCCAUAUAUAUCACAAAAUCAUAUUAAAUCAUAUAAUAUGCUUAAAAAUAAAUUUUUUAUUUUAUUUUCUUUUAUUAAAAGAAAAUUGUGUGCCGAGCUCACACGCGGCUCACGCGCCCGUUGCGCGAAGCACGCGCCUGUCCAUGGGCACACGUGUGCGGCCCAAGCCCAAGCCAAAGCGCACAUCUUGGCGUGAGUGCGACUGCAUGCGCCCCAGUCGGAGCCGUGGGCGCGCAUCCACGUGGGUUCCGUCGCUACAGCCCUGAUUUUUUUUAAAAAUGAAUAAAUUUUAAAAAUUCAUAAUUUUAAAAGUACCACUCCAAAUCUUACCAGAAAUAUAUUAAUAGAAAGCUUGUGAGAAGCUUUAUCAAAUCAUGUAUGUUUUAUAAUGGGAUAUAUAUUAAGAGUUGGGUUUAGAAUACUAUCGAUAGUAAACGGGCUCAUUGCCAUUCAUUUGUUUUCAAUGAUAGAGCCUCUAAAAAGAUAAUUGGCACUGUUGAAUAUGAUUUAUACCACUUGAAGUGUUUAGAAAUCAAAUUUCAAAUCUUUUCGAUAUCAUUUGCUUAAUGAUCAAAGGGUUUUAAAAUUUGUAAUUUUAAUGGUCGAUAUGAGGUGUUUUCUCGUUUAAUAGCGUAAAGAUAUCCAAAUCAAUUGAAUUUUUGUUAGAAAAUUCUUUAAACUAUUUAAAACAAGAUCUAUACUCUUGAUCUUGACUACAUGACUCCUAUCAUUAUUUUUUAAAAAAUAUUCAUUUUCAGCCGUUUGUUUUUGUGUCCACUCGAUGGAUAAAAGAAUAAUAUCAAAAAUGUAUGAAAUUUGAUUUCUAAACACUUUAAGUGGUAUAGAUUGUGUUCAACGGUGCCGAUCGUCGAUUUGGAGGCUCCAUCAUCGAAAAUAAAUAGGUGGCAACGAAGCCCGUUUGCUACCGAUAGUAUUCUAGCUCAACUCCAUAGAUUACACAUCGAACAAGUCACCCACAAAUUUUUUAUUUAGAAUUUUAUUUUUCUCAUAAAAUAUAAAUCUAAAUUAAAUCAAAUUUGGUAGAUUUAAUCUACAACAUAGGUACUACAAGAUGUGUAAAUAAUCAUGCAAAUAUNUUUUUAAUUAUAUAAAUUUAUAUUAUGUAUUUUAAUUAUAUGUAUAUAGAAUUUAGAUUAUUGGACCCAUAAAACCAAACCAGUAAAUUCCUACUUUAAUUGCUCUCUCUUUCUCUUUUUCACUCGCUCAUAGAGUUAUUUUUCCUAAUUUUUUUAAUAUUAUAAUAUCGUAUUUCAUGCAUUCAUUUUGUAUGUUGAGCUAUUAGACGUUUUUUGUAUCAAAUUUUAGAUAAUAUUUUAUAAAAAUUAAACUAUAGAUUGCACGAUGUUAAGAAUUUCAAGCAGCUCGUUUAGGUCUCGAUCUCGCUCGACUCAAAAUUAGGCUUGCUCGACCUCGUCUCGAAUUAAUUUCAAGCCGAGCUUGAGCCUAAAUUUAGGUCCGAAAUUAAUUUCAAACUAAGCUUGAGCUGAGGUAAACUCGCUCGAGCUCGGCUCAUUUCCAACCCUAGGGACCACUCAACCCUAACUUACUAAUAUCAUUCUAACCCUAUAAUUUCUCAUCAAAGGGUUAAAAACUUAAUAGCAAAAAGAGCAUUUUGCUAUCAAUAGUAUUCCAACCUUGUAGUGUCCCUAGUGUUUAGCGGCCUGUUUGUUUUUAGCAACUGAGGCUUGUCGACACGUCUGGAGAGUGUCUGAACAAGUCGGAAUCAUUUUAGCGCGGAAUGUACGCAAAACGGACUCAACCCGACGUGAGAGUGGAAUUCUGACAUUAAAAUCUGCAAAAUGCAGGAUUUCAGUGUUGAGUAUCGAUACCCAAGAGGAGUACCGGUACUCUAGUGGAUGGCAGAGAUGGAAGCUCUCGGGUUUGCGCGUAGUUGAUGCUGAGUACCGGUACUUGGUUGUUGAGUACUGGUACCGAGCCCUAGUAUCGGUACUGCAUCGGGCGAGUACCAGUACCCAGUGCGCGAGGCUGCGGGCUGAGGGCCCGGGUACCGGUAUCAAGCUGAGUACCGGUACUCCAGCUGUAUUUUUGAGUAGGUAAAGGGCAUGCAGUUUAGUCUUUUGAUUUGGUCGUUCAUUCCUAAGUUACCCAACUCUUAUAUGGGGUUUAGGAGGCAUUUGAGAAGGGAUCCUUCUCCCUCCNUCUCUCUCUCUCUCUCUCUCUCUCUCUAGCUGGUGGAGUUUAGUCUUUUGAUUCUUUUUAAGCUAAUUAUUGUAGGGUUCCAUAUCUCGUCGACCUUGGGCAUUAUUGCCCUCUGGGGGUUGGUCCAUCUAAUUACUUAAAUUUUUUAGGACCUCUUAUUCUGCGAGAACAUAUUGAAUUUUACAGUGCCAAAUAUCAUAAUUAUCAUCAUCUAAUUUCUCGCCUUUAAUUAGAUCAGCAACAACUUGUUUGGAGGCCAUUUUAUCUUACUAAGUAAGCACAGUGCAAAAAAAAGAUACUUAAAAUUAGCACACAAUACUUAUAUUAAAUUUUAUCGCAUCUAUAAUUAAAUAAACUAAAAUUUGGAUCAUAAGUGCGCAAAAAAAAAUUUCGCUAUACUCAUAAUCACAUCAUGCACUCUAUGCCAAAUUUUUAAUUAUUUAAUUAAGUUACAUAAAAUAUUUGGAAGUAAAACAUACGAUUUACUCUAACAAAAAAAAAACUCCCACUUAAAGUAGCAUGCAUAAAAAUACACCAUACCAUAAGCAUCAUCCAUAUAUCAUAAAGACAUAAAAAUAUUAUAAUACUUAAAUGUAUGCGAUAUAUAUCACAAAAUCAUAUUAAAUCAUAUAAUAUGCUUAAAAAUAAAUUUUUUAUUUUAUUUUCUUUUAUUAAAAGAAAAUUGUGUGCCGAGCUCACACGCGGCUCACGCGCCCGUUGCGCGAAGCACGCGCCUGUGCAUGGGCACACGUGUGCGGCCAAGCCCAAGCCAAAGCGCACAUCUUGGCGUGAGUGCGACUGCAUGCGCGCCCCACUCGGAGCCGUGGGCGCGGAUCCUCGUGGGUUCCGUCGCUACAGCCCUUUUUUUUUUUGAUUUUUUUUAAAAAUGAAUAAAUUUUAAAAAUUCAUAAUUUUAAAAGUACCACUCCAAAUCUUACAAAAAAUAUAUUAAUAAAAAGCUUGUGAGAAGCUUUAUCAAAUCAUGUAUGUUUUAUAAUAGGAUAUAUAUUAAGAGUUGGGUUAGAAUACUAUCGAUAGUAAACGGGCUCAUUGCCAUCCAUUUGUUUUCAACGAUAGAGCCUCUAAAAAAACAAUCGGCACUGUUAAAUAUGAUUUAUACCAUUUGAAGUGUUUAGAAAUCAAAUUUCAAAUCUUUUCGACAUCAUUUGCUUAAUGAUCAAAGGGUUUUAAAAUUUGUAAUUUUAAUAGUCGAUAUGAGGUGUUUUCUCGUUUAAUGGCAUAAAGAUAUCCAAAUCAAUUGAAUUUUUGUUAGAAAAUUCUUUAAACUAUUUAAAACAAGAUCUAUACUCUUUAUCUUGACUACAUGACUCCUAUCAUCAUUUUUUUAAAAAUAUUAAUUUUCAGCCGUUCGUUUUUGUGUCCACUCGAUGGAUAAGAGAAUAAUAUAAAAAAUAUAUGAAAUUUGAUUUCUAAACACUUUAAGUGGUAUAGAUCGUGUUCAACGGUGCCGAUCGUCGAUUUGGAGGCUCCAUCAUCGAAAACAAAUAGGUGGUAACGAAGCCCGUUUUGCUGCCGAUAGUAUUCUAGCUCAACUCCAUAGAUUACACAUCAAACAAGUCACCCACAAAUUUUUUAUUUAGAAUUUUAUUUUUCUCAUAAAAUAUAAAUCUAAAUUAAAUCAAAUUUGGUAGAUUUAAUCAACAACAUAGGUACUACAAGAUGUGUAAAUAAUCAUGCAAAUAUAUCCACCUAAAAAAAAUCGCUAUUAACAUUCACAAGCAUGCAAGAAAAAAAUUCAAACGGUGGUAGAUUUAAUUUUAUGCAUGCAACCUUGGUACAAAAUUAAUAUAGGGCACAAAAUCAACUUAAUAAGGCUAUAAUACCAAUGUAGCACGCAGCGAAAGUAUUAGUUUGUAUUCUUUACGAAAGCGACUCGCGCUAGAACGUGAUGAGCUUGGAUCGUAGAGGUUGAUUCAUGUGUCGUCGGAUCGUCCACGAAAGUCUUCUAACGCUCCAUAUCUACGGUAGAUCAAACUACGAAGGAGCACGAUCUCUAAUCCACCGUUCAAGACCCUUUGGAAUAAGAUGUUAAUGGAGAAUGUGGUUUUUCUCUCUAAUAAGAUGGCUCACAAAUUACUCACCAAUUUAUCAGUGUUUUUCUUUAUUUUCCUUAUUUUUUCUAUGAGAGAAUAGCCCGUAUAUUUAUAAGAGAUCUCAAAAUCAUAAUAGGAGAGUAAGAGAUUUAAGCCAAAUCGGUUUAUGUUUGUUAUUCUAAUUUGACUAGAAUUUAUCUCUAAUUAGCUUUUCAAUUUAAAAGCGAGAUUAAAUCUAGUCUAAUUAGACAACAUAAUAAUCGUCGGAUCAAGUUCGAUCAUGGGCGCACCCAAUUCAGUUUAACCGAAUGUCAACAGCCACCAAUCUUGAUUGUACUUCUCCACUACGUCUUGUGCACGCAUUUUCUUUGCUUAGUAUACCCAUUUUACUCUGAUGGCCUGGUUCCCCAUGGGAAGUGUAGUCAGCUCCCAUACUUAGUUCUUUUCAAUCGCUUUGAUCUCAUCAUUCAUGGCAUACUUUCAUUUUUCUUCACGGAUGGCUUCUUAGAACUCUAAAGGUUCACUAUCAUGCCCCAGGUUGCAGCGGACUCGGCUAAUUGCUAACAGAUCUGCCGCAUACAUGAAAAACCCUAUGCACACGAAGCAUCUAACAUGCACAAAUAAAUACAAUCUACAACAAUUGUAGACAUUAGAGCUGGAAAAGAACUAAUACAUAGAUGUAACCAUAUUGUACAUACAUCACUACCCAAAAAUACAAUGUCACCUCAAUGUACAGAGUCAACUCUCACAACUGAAAUAAAGUACAAGCUAGCCAAGCCAGUCUAAUAUGUACAGUACGUCUCAAAACUAAAGUCCAUCCAGUCCACCUCUAUCAUAGUCCAUAGGUAGAAGAUGCUAUCUAUCCUGCGAUCCCCUUAUCUCGAUUAGAAACAGCGGUAGCAAGUGUAGAGGGCUUUGCAAUAAAAGAUCAAUAACGAAGGGCAUGAGAACUAUAAAAACAAGUAGUCCUCAGUGGAUAGCGUCAUCAAUGACAACGGCCUUCUCACUAGGCCUACCAGAGGAAUUAGCAAUAAGAGCUGCUGGAUAGAAACAAGAUAACAGGUUACUGCGGGCAUGAAUCUACCAUUACUAUGUGUCUAAUCUGUACUUUAGGAAAUGAAUGCAUUAUGUAUGAUAUGCAUCAACUAGCUACGAUGCUGUCGAAAUAAACCCAAUCAUACCAACUGGCUUGAAGGUCCAGUCAAGCCCAUGCUAGCAUCAAGUCUAAUCCCUACCAAAUUUGGUCGGUCGUUGAUGCAAUAAUAAUAUAUACUAAAUCAAGUUGCUUAUCUCCGAAGUGGCACUCGAGGGAAGCGAUCCGCUCGAGGAUCAAAGUAACCAGAUCAAGCAUAUAUACUAUACUACUGCAGGUUAUAAUUGAUGUGCAUGAUCAACCAGAUGAUAUAACCACCAAUGAAGUAACCUCCGCACAAUCUGAUGCAAUAAUAGGGUCUCGUUCAUCUGUACAAACCCACGGCUACUGCAAAUCAUAAAGUCUUAAACCCGACACCACCUAAUUUCCCGGGCGAAAUAACCCCCUAUCAACUAAUCCAACCCCCCAAUCCCUGCGCACAAAAUAGUCCACACUGCCAAACCCCUGACCAACAACUGGGACAUGCAAGAAUAAUUAAACUAAUGCCAUUAUGCCACAAAAACAGCUGGUUCAGUUGCAAGACCCAGUGAUAACAUAGUAAACACCAUUUGACUUGAUGCAUUAAGACGAAUUGUAAAUAGUGCAUAAAAGCUACAUUCAGGUACAAGACUUGUUGGCAUUCGGUUAAAUCGAAUCGGGUGCGCCCAUGAUCGGGCUUGAUCGGACGGUUAUUAUAUUAUCUAAUUGGAUUAGGAUUAAUCUUGCUUGCAAAUUAGAAAGUUAAUUAGAGAUAAAUUCUAAUCAUAUUAGGAUAACAAUUAAUAACCGAGUUGGCUUUAUCUAUUACGCACCUAUUAGGAUUUUGAAAUCCCUUAUAAAUAUACGGGCGAUCCCACAUAAAACUAAGAACGGAAAAAGAAAGAGAACAAGAAAAACUGAGAGAAAAACAGAGAAACCACAUCCUCCAUUAACCUAUUAUUCUAGAGGGACUUGAACGGUGGAUUUGCGAUCGUGCUUGUUUGUAGUUCGAUCCACCGCGGGUUUGGAGCGUUAGAAGACCUUCAAGGACGAUCCAAUGACACGUGAAUCAACCUCUACGAUCCGGGUUCAUCGCGUUGUAGCGCGAAUCGCUUCAGCAAAAAGGUAUACGAACGAAUACUUCCGUUGCGUUCUACAAGACUAAUUAGCUUCUACUAACAGAGAGUCUCUAGUUAGCAUCAUAACCAUGCUACUUCAACCACAAAAUAGGACGCAUGCUGGAAUUGCAACUAAUAGACAUACAAGGUAGCACACUGUAUUCGAUGAACUAAAACCCACCUCAAUUCCAGCGAUGGGAUAAAUUUAGCUUCAAGGAUGAAGAUCACUGCAAGACCAGCAAGAAGGAACUCUAGGAACCAGAAAAACUAGCAAACAAACCUACUUGAACAACCUAAAUUUGAAUUGUACCAAAAUUUGAAUUCAACACACCACUUCGGACAGGAACCAAUUGCUUAAGCACCUUUCCCAGCUCAAACUCAAGUGGAAAAUCCAAAGAAGAUUAGAUCGAUGCCUCUAUCCCCUCGCAUUGUUUUUCUUAUCUCCUCCAUUUAGAUUUUUAUUUCUUCUUAUAUUUCUAUUCCUCAACCUUCAAGUCCAUGGCCACUGCCACUCCUAUAUUCUCUACCAUGACCAUUGUUAAAUAUAAAAAUGUUUAAACAUCGUUAUCUAACAGCUUAAGCUUUUAGAGUACAACGGUUGUUUCACAUGGUAUCAGAGCAGGAGGUCCUGAGUUCGAGUCACGCCAGGCUCCUAACAUAUUAAUUUUCUCCCAUUUAAUUUAAGCCCACGUCAUGGGCCGAUUAAAAAGUCUCGAGCCCAGAUGUGAGGGGGAGUGUUAAAUAUAAAAAUGUUUAAACAUCGUUAUCUAACAGCUUAAGCUUUUAGAGUACAAUGGUUGUUUCACAACCACGGCCUUGCCUUGACUGUGAUUUGAUGAGUAUUUGUCGAUCUUUGAUCCUUCCAUUCCUUCCUUCAGUAAGAUCUUUGUUUGAAGGGCUUGUUCUAGAUUUUCUUAUAUCUUCUUUUCAUCCGUUGUUCAUGAGCUUUCAAUGAUCACAAGAGUAGAUCAACUGUCAAUGCAUGUGGGUCUUUUGCCUCUUUGGUUGCUACAACCACAUAUUUAAAUUUAUUAUUAAUGAAUGAAGAACUCUUUGAAAUAUCUGUAACUUGUCUACUUUUCACUGUUUUGUCGAAAUUCGCUCACCAUAAUUGCAUCUUCAUGUCGUCAAGUUUGUCUCUUAGUCUUUGCAGGAAAACUCUCUUUAUCUUUUGUACGCCUUUGUUGAUCAUGGUCCGGAGGAUCUCCCCUACUUGUUUUGAGGUGGCAACUGUUGCGACUUUUUCAAAAUUGGCAUAAUCCGGGUGCAAAUAGAUGAUGAAGAGGGUUUUCUUAUCCUCUUUCUUGACUUUUUGAGAGCAAACAGUUGACUUGAUUGGAGUAGGACUUUAUUUUGAGGCUCAACGUGGCCUCUCAAAACUACCUCCCAGAUAUCUUUAGAUUUGAACAGAGCCUUCAUCUAUAUAUAUAUGCUCUAAUUAUCGUAGAUGUGCUUCAUUAGAUGAAGAUCUUGACAUUGCAUGCCAUUGGACAUCUUGUUGAAUUAGGCUUCUUUCUCAGAUAUGCCGCUCUGAUACCACUUUGUUGCAAUAGAUAUUAUAGAUUCAAAUGAGGAGAUGCACUCAAUUGGACGAAAGAGAAAACUUUACUAAGCGGAGAUGCUAGCUAUGCCCCCGGUUGCAGCUCAUACAAUUCAACUACAUCUAUAUAUAUAUACAGCUCGAACUUCAUUACGAUAAUUACAAUCUAAACUUCAUAUCCCAACUUUAAUAACAACUUAACUUUAUCCAAAUCCUCCUAAUAAAUUAAUAAACGUUAUUGACAUUUGGAACUAAUUAUGAGAUAAAAACAUUAUCAACUAGUUAACAAAUUGAUAACAUUUCGACUAACCAAAUUUAUAACUUUCCAAUACUUUUGUUUUCCCUUGAAAGAUAAGUUUGUAUACUAAUCAAAGACAACAAUAAUAAAGUUUUUCGAUUGCACAUUUUUGAUAAGCAUAAACUUUUGUCACAACAAAAAAAACAAAAAAAAGGUAAAAAAUCAAUUCAAGGAACAAAUUGGCUAGACAAUCCAAUCCCAUAUACUUAAUUAUAGACUGCACAGAAAUAAGUUUUAGAACCAAUUGAAAUAUUUGUGAAAAUUUAAAUAAUAAAUCAAGUUUUAUCCUUAGAAAUUGGUUUUCUUUGUUGUUACGAAAAGUGCUACAAAAACUAUUGUUCCUCAAUCAUAGAUUUAAUAAUAAAAUUUUGGUAAAUUUAACAGAAUAUUUAGAAUUGCGUGAUUUAUAUGUACAUAGUUAUGCAUUAUCGUUUACAAAGAAAUAACUUAUAUACUAAAGUGAGAAAGUGAAUAAUAGAUUUUGAGUUUCUCUACAGAGCAUAGUAACUCUAGCUAUUUGUGUUUUACAUUGUUUUUCCUUUGGAAAACUUCAAAUACCACCUCUGUAAUUUUUCACUUUCUCACUUUAGUAUCCUAUAUAUGGUUUAAAGUGUAUCGAGUUAGUGCCUUGUUGUUUUAUUUUUAUCUUUUAAUUAUCGAUUACACUAAUUUUUUUCGUUAAAUUAGUGACAAAGUUUAAACUAAAGGAUACUAAAGUGAAUAUUCGAUAAACUUAGGUGUGGUAUCUGAAUUUUUUUUGUAUAUAAUUUAACGAAAUAUUAACCAAAAAAGCUGACGAAAAUAUAAAAAUGAAAUCAUGACACUAACUUGAUAUAUUUUAAACCACAUUACACUAAAGUGAGAAAGUGCGAAAUCACAGUAGUGGUAUUUAAAGUUUACCCUUUUCCUUUAUAAUAGAAAUGAGCCAGAAUUUUCAGUAUGCUUAGUUUAGCAAUGAUUUUCUUAGUUAAAGCUCUUCACAAAAUGAGUUGUAUGUUCGUUCAAACUAGAUUUGCAAUUAUUUUGUCCAUUAUGCAGAGUUAUGGCCCGAAAUUAUUAGUAGUGAAGUUUGAGUUUCCCAUCUAGUAUAGUAAUUACCUUAUUUGGUUUUCUUUGUUUGACUUAUUUUCUUCUCAUUAUAGAAGUGAGAAAGAAUUUUCAAUAUUCUUAGUUUAGCAGUAAUUUUCUCUGUUGAAAUUCUAAAUAAAAUGACCUGUACUGAUGUUGUCUCAAAUUUCAUACCAGAUAAUUUUCGUAACAAAUCAAACAACUGAACGCUAGUUAUUAAAGCACGUCAUAAACUGUGCUAGCUAGUUAUGUUGCUUGCAAUUUAACCAACUUCCUAGUGUAGACAAGAUCAAAAGUAAAGUACGUUUUCCUUUUGUUUUGCCAUAUAUAAUUUUCUCCAAUUUCAAGAUCAAGAUAUUGUUAUGUAUGCUAAAAAAAGGCUAGAAUUUUAGCUUUGAAGACCAAUACAUGCUUGAGUGCAGGUACCGAGAAACUGUGAAAGCUCCAUCUGUCGUCUAGGUUUUGUUUGAUUAUCCUUAAAAAUCUUUCACUCUUGUUAAUAUAUUUGAAUAUAAAUGGUUAUUGGUGGCAUGAAUCUAUUUUUUAAUUCAUUUAUUUUUUAAAUUUGAUUUGUUUUUUAACUAUAUUUCUAAUUUAGAUGUACCGCAAAUAUUUAUUAUAUGUGUUCCACAACAUACAAUUUUUUUUUAAUGUGUACCCAAAAUUUAAAACUUUAAUUUGAGUUUGAUUGCAAAAUUUAAAUUAAAUUCUAAAUUUAUAUUUAAAUUUGUGAAUCAGCUCAAAUUUUAGAUUUAAUUUUUAAUCCAUUAUAAACAAUUGUGAUUUUAUAUGUCUAUUUUUAAACCAUUCGAUUUUUCAAACCUGAUUUGAUUUUAGUUAUUUUUUGUUUUUCCUUGUAAUGUGUAUGGAAUAUUAUUUUAUUCCAUUUAAGAUUUCAUAUUUGCCUACUCAAAAUUUCCUAUACACUUUUGUAUAUAAUAUAGAGAGAUAUAUGAGAGAGAGAGCUCGUGUAAGGUCCCGACCGGGUAGCAAUAGUAACUUGUUGGGCCCAAAUCAUCGACUCAAAAUGCUUAGCCUAAUUAUUAUUAAUAGGGUUUAUGGCUCCUUAUAUAUCCAAUCAUAAUCUCGUUCCUAUCCAAUGUGGAACUAUUAGUGUCAUAGACUUCUCGUUCAGGCCUUGACAUCCUCGUCAACCCAAUGUUCUACACAACUCAAGACUAUUAGGUGAUGUGAGACUUGUUUCGCAAGUCUUGUCAUUCAAACCCUAACAGAGUCUGUCAUUCAGACCUUAACUCAGCCGAGGUUCAUCUCAUGCUUCCAGCUGGUUAUUGGUUCUGAUACCAAAUGUAAUGACUCAACCGACCCGCUAGUAAUAAUAACUUCUUGGGUCCAAACUAUUGGCCCAAAAUGCUAUAACCAAGUUAAAAAAUUUAGCCCUAUUAUAUCUCAUAUAUAGAACUAUUCCAAAUCAUUCUAAAUCCUGAGGUGUCAUAUUCUCCCCCCUUUUAAAUUCUGACGUCCUCAUCAUGCUCAAGCGCACUCACAAGUAGCAGACAUUAUGAAACUCAUCUUGCCAACCCACAACGGUCAUUAGCUAGGAGUCGCACUCUACUAACUAUAUAACCUUGGCUCGGUCAAAACUCAUCUCAUGCUUUUAGGUGAUGAUUGACUUUUAUACCAACUGUGAUGCUCCACUUUCUACGGGAUCACCCAUCCUAGGACUAUAGUUCUAGUAUGCUUAACCUUCUUAACCACUGGGGCCUAGCCAUCACCCAAAAUGCUAUAACUAGGUUUAGAAACUAACAAGUACCAGGCUAUGUGAGACUCGUCUCACUAGCCUUGGCAGGCCUUGUGGGGAGCCACUCUCCAUCUACAACGAUCGUUAACUAGGUUUGAAUAAUAAGUCUAGCGAGACAAGUCUCCCAAACCGGCCCUAACAAAGAGAUUUCAUACAUCAAUUCUCAGCCAAGAACCACCUCUUGAACAAAAUCCAAAAACUCUUCCAACACUAUUAGUACUAAAGAAAUCAUCUCAAAAACCCUUGUACAUAUCUCUAAACCAUCAAAUCUUACCGCCACUAGAGUCUAAUUUGAUAGAACACAAGAGGGAUUCAUCCAAGAGCUCUCAUCCUUGAAUUCCAGCUCAAAACCCAACCUUGGAGGAAUUAAAAGUGAUUAGGAGGAAAUAGGAACCAAAAUGAAGCUAUAGUAGUAGAGAAGAAGCAAGAAAAAUAGAUAAAGAAGAUGGAGAAAAAGAGGAAAAGAACUAGGGUUCUUUAGUGGAAGGGGAUAGAAGAGGUAGUUGAGGGUGAGGAUAAUCUUACAGAGUUAAAACA
rnacentral:lncRNA from 1 species